UUAGUAGAGCGCAUCAUUUAAGCCAAGCAAGCUGUGGUCAAUACAAAUCCACCAUGAAGACCUUUCUCAUCCUUGCCCUCCCUGCUAUCGUGGCGACCACCGCCACAACUGCAGUUAGAGUUCCAGUGCCACAAUUGCAGCCACAAAAUCCAUCUCAGCAACAGCCACAAGAGCAAGUUCCAUUGGUACAACAACAACAAUUUCUAGGGCAGCAACAACCAUUUCCACCACAACAACCAUAUCCACAGCCGCAACCAUUUCCAUCACAACAACCAUAUCUGCAGCUGCAACCAUUUCCGCAGCCGCAACUACCAUAUUCGCAGCCACAACCAUUUCGACCACAACAACCAUAUCCACAACCGCAACCACAGUAUUCGCAACCACAACAACCAAUUUCACAGCAGCAGCAGCAGCAGCAACAACAACAACAACAACAACAACAACAACAAAAGCAAAUCCUUCAACAAAUUUUGCAACAACAACUGAUUCCAUGCAUGGAUGUUGUAUUGCAGCAACACAACAUAGCGCAUGGAAGAUCACAAGUUUUGCAACAAAGUACUUACCAGCUGUUGCAAGAAUUGUGUUGUCAGCACCUAUGGCAGAUCCCUGAGCAGUCGCAGUGUCAGGCCAUCCAAAAUGUUGUUCAUGCUAUUAUUCUGCAUCAACAACAAAAACAACAACAACAACCAUCGAGCCAGGUGUCCUUCCAACAGCCUCUGCAACAAUAUCCAUUAGGCCAGGGCUCCUUCCGGCCAUCUCAGCAAAACCCACAGGACCAGGGCUCUGUCCAGCCUCAACAACUGCCCCAGUUCGAGGAAAUAAGGAACCUAGCGCUACAGAUGCUACCUGCAAUGUGCAAUGUCUACAUCCCUCCAUAUUGCACAAUCGCGCCAUUUGGCAUCUUCGGUACUAACUGAGAAGAAAAUAACUCUAGUACUAGAUAUAUGAAACACCGUUUUCUCAGUCCAUGGUUUGGUCAUUGUAGCGUCGAAAAAAUAAUGUGACAUGCACUAUCAUAUAAGAAUCCGAACUAUACUAGUUCAAACUUGGGAAUAAAAGACAAACACAUGUCUUGUCUACAUAUUUAUGUUGCAUCUAUUUAUAUAUUAAAAGUAAUAUAAGGUGAACCAGGAGCAAGGUAAAUAUGCUAGAAAAUUGCACGUUAAUUAGAAAUUACUUGCCCUCGAUCUGGUAAAUCUUAACAAAUAGAAUUAUCUUGACCGUUAGAUUUAUAUAACAUAUAUAAUGCUCUGGGCCUCCAACGACUGUACGUGACACAUCUGAACGAACAUAUGGUAAAGAAAAUAUAUUUGGUAAAUGGUGGGCCUGUUUAAAAAGAGAACUCACGUACAUGCACCAACUAAGAAAAACACAUACAUGUAAACGGGAAAAGGAUGAGAUUUUCUCACGUACGUGCUCCCUGGCUCCACCCCGUUGAAAAAAUAUACAUCUGGAGGCCACUUUGUUUCCUCAUCAAAAAAACUUACGUUAAAAAGAUUGCAUGCAUCCCAGGGAAAAUAGUCAAGAAGAAGUCGGACUUUUCCUUACAAAAACAAGGAACGUGUUAAGUUGACUUCAAAGAAAAAAGGAACAUGUUAAGUUAAAAAAAAACAAGAAACCUGUUAAGUUAGAAAAAAACAAGGAACGUGUUGUCCAAGGAAAGAUAUGUGUCAAAUCUUACAAAAAAAAAGAAUACACACACGUACGUUCAUGCACUUGGAAAAUAGAAAAAAAGGAACAUCACGUAUGUAUACACUUCGGAAACUCAUUACAUGACCAUGUCUGAUAUACUCCUCUAAUGCUUAAUAUUAGUGCCUAAUAAUUUAUAUUUAAAAUUUAAUUUACUGAUCAAAUAUCCCCACUGUUUAAAUUUUAAUUUGGCACAUUGUUUGGCUAUAGUAUGAACCUGAAUUUCCUCUUAUUAUUAUAUAUCAUGGUAAUAAUCCAAAGGCGACUAAUCUGCACCGGCGCACCGGCGCAAUCAAUUCGGCUGGACACAGCGCGGCCGUUUGAUUAGAUUGCAUUUAACCAUCAGAUCUGGAAUCGUUUUCUUUCCAAUUAAACGGAUUCAACCAAACAGCAGAGGGGAAAACAAAGCAGCGCCGCCGCCAACACUAGCCAUGGACGACCGAUGUAGCAAAACCUUGAAGAACCGCCGCCGGUCGCCACCCUCGCCUCUGGUCGCUGCCCUCGCCGUCGGUCACCGCCGGUCGCCGCCCUCGCCGCCUGCGUUUCUCAUCGGCUUCAUGCAUGCAACAACAUGCACUCGUGGUUGCAGGCUUGCAUCUCCGGCUCCGGGGACAUGGCCGCAUCUCCGGUAGCGCCGGCCGCCGGCCGCAGCACCUGUCGUUGUGGUCGCGCUGUACCUCGCCGUGUGCCCUCCCGAGGCUCUUGCUGGUUCCAACAAAAAACGAUACCUGUUGUAGCAAAAAAGUAUCGCUUCCAGCAAAAAAGCUUACCGCUACAGCCCGCCAUCGUCAUUGUAGCAAAAAUGUUAACCCGAUGUAGCUUCUGUGGUUGCCGACUGCAGCAAAAAAUGACAUGGCUGUAGCAAAACACAAAAGAAAAACACUGGCCGGCCGCUGUGUAUGGUGGUAACAAACCCUAUAGCCGGUGGUAGCGAAAAACUUCAUAGUGUGCUGCAAAAAAAUGUUGUCACCCGUCGUCGAGGUUGCAUCAUCUUCAUGAAUUAUGCCGCAAAAAAACGUUGUCGCCGGUAGUAGCAAAUGAAGCCGCCGGUAGUAGCAAAACAAGACACUGGUUCCAGCCAAAAAAAAAAUCAGCGACAGAACCUUUGGUUGGUUCCAACAAAAAAACUUGUCGGUUGUAACAUCCCUCGCCGCCGGAUGUAGCAUCUCCCGGGGCUGGUUGCAACACUCCAUAAAAAAAGUUGUCUAUGAGCGCAUCCAUGGUGACUGCUGCACCGUCAGCAAUGAGGGGAAGAGGAGGCAAUGAAAAUCAUUCGAGUCAUAGCUCCACAGGACGCGGCUGCAGCAUGGGGAGUCCAAAAAUCUGUCACAAGCAACAUGCGCCGCGCCAUCCUCCUGCGCAGGAGAGAGAAGAAAAAGGAAUAAGAGGAAGAAGAAAGGAAACAGGAGAAAGAAAAAAGAAAGGAUUGGUGGUUGGCUCAGGCAAUUAGUCAAGCGAGGGGCACGCGGGGCCGCAGGACACAGCGCAAUCGAACGAAGCGCGCGCGUCCGGGCGAAGACUCGGCCGGACUGCCGUCUGGAAACGUUUCCCUAAUCCAAAGGCUUUAUCUGAAUGACAAGUCGUCUGGGUUACCGGCUAACUAGAAAAAAGAUAAAUAUGCUAGAGAAUUCCAUAAUAAUUAGAAAUAUCUAGCCUUUAAUUAUGUAAACCAGAAAAUCACAACCGUUGGAUUUACUUUAAAGGUAAAUUUCUAUAAAUUCCCACCAUUGCCAGUAUGUAGAAACAUGUGCUGCUUCAAUUCUCCCAUAAUCACCAAUCAAUCAACAACACAAAACAUACCUCAGUUAAAAAAACUGAACAAAAAAAAGAAAAAAAGAAGAAAGGACAAGAUACACGCAUGUACACGACAGCCUUGGCUUGAAACACAUCAGUAGAUCAAGUGUCCGCCUCCCUUACACGUACGUCCCAUGAGGUUUACUAGCCUACCGCCGCCGCAUCAUGCCAUCCUCUCCUUUCAGCUCCCAUGCUCUCCAGCACCCUCAUUGCGGCGCCACUACUCGCCUAGGGAUAUUGCUGCUCAGACCGUGGAGCUUAACCACAUCAGCAUCAGCACGUAUGGGCCUCAUUAUACUGCAGCACGUAUUGCGCCCCCUUAAGUCCAGGUCUGUUUGCUGGCACAUAUGCUUUGGAAAUAGGCCACUAUGUUUGUACUUCAAAAUUGUUUCUGUAUUCUUGAGUGGUACAUCCUUUUAAGCGCCAGUUUUUUAUGUUAAUUCAUGCUGACAACACUUAACCUAGCCUUUCAUGUUCACGUACUAAAUACAGGAGCAAGUAAAAACAACAGACCACCUAAUUGCUCUGCAUGUACUACAUAGGAAAAUUUGUCAUGUUCUACGAUCGCACCAUCCCACCCUUCUCUCUUGGUAUGGGCGCCAAUUGAGGGAUUGAUAAAACUGAAACGAAGACGUCACAGGGCUGGAAGUACCGCUAGCCUGGUUUGCACUGCAACCUACCCAACGCCAUCAGAAACUAGCAACUGAGUCAGGUGUUGAUCGAUUCUCUCAAAUUGCUCUCAUGUAAGUACUACCCCUUGCAUGUGCGUACAUACCUUUGUUGCAUUCUCAAACAGAUAGAACAUGUUUGAUCGGUGCAUGGCUAUUUUUCAUCACAUGACAUCCAGAUAACAAGCAUGAAAGGACUACAUUGGAGAUCAAAAAAUAUUGGUUCCUGGCUAGAGUACCACUACCUAUGGACUUGUCUCCAUAGAAUUUGUUCCCAAGAUGUUAUUUUAAUUAAUCUCUUUAGCUUUCUUCCAUUGCAAACGGUGAUGUGCAUCAUGGUAUAUACGUGACCAUCUUGCACAUGUAUACACAAGAGGCUCAGAUGGAGGUGCUGGAUUCUGGACGAGGGAAUAUGAAGCAGGAGUGAGCGAAGAGUAAAUAAUGGUGGGAGUACCGAUUGGUGUUAUGAAGAAAAAUGCCAUCCAAAGAUUGAUUAGUGUCAUGGAAGAUUAAUUUCUGAAUGCGAAUAUAUAUGUUACAUUGGUUUGGAUCUUUUUGAGAUAAUUCCACCUAAAUUAGGUUCUUUCUUAUUUCAUAUGUAUACCUUAUUUCAGUAAAAGUUCACAACGAACUUAGUAGGACAAAUAUAAUUUUGUUUGUUCUUUCUGUUGUCCGCCACCAAAGCUCAAUUUGAACUCUCUAGAAAUGGACAAUGAUUUAUGCAUUCUAUAUCUUCUUGAUUGAUUAGCCAUGACAAGGAAAUAAAAGGAUUGACUGAUAUAGCAUAACUUUGGAACGAUUAGAGGUUACUACAAAUAAGAGUAGUGUCUGUUGGAAUUUUGCUAGUAGGCCUUUGGCCCAAAGCCCAACUAAAAUUCUGAAAUUCUCUUGGCUCAUUUAUGCACACAUGUGAGUUGAGUGAGUGAGACUAAAGUUUAGUCCCACCCUGGAAGUUGAGAGAGAGUUGCACCUCUUUAUAAGGUGAGCUCUUCUACCACUUGUAUGAGCAUGAGAAGAGGAGACCUACACGCGCGCUCCUCCUCCACGCUCGCCACGCCUCGUCGCGCCGCGCCGUGCCGCGGGUUGCGGGAUUGAGCCGAGCCGAGGACGUUUUCUAUAUUUUUGCUGCUCGGGAAAAAUUAAUGAGUCAUUAAUUAAUAAUUAAUGGACACAUUAAUUACUGAACCGUUUCCGAUUUUUUUGGAUCGUGACGACUCGGACGUGGGGUUUACUCCCAGGACCUACCCGGCCCGCACUAUAUAGUCAGGAAGACGUCUACCCUAGCCGCCGCCGCUUCGUAUGGUUUCUCACCAUCGUUACAGAUCAUUGCGCCGCCAAGCAAGUUUUCUCCAUCCCUCCUUUCGGCGUGCACCGGGAGAAGGGACAGCAGACCUCCGGAACCCCGCCUCUCGUGAUCCUAUACGGGAGAGGGGCGAUCAGGUUUUUGGGGAGCGCACUCGCAUGACUGCUGGCAGCGACGACUUCGCAAACGACGACUUCUUCCCCGACCUCGGCAACCUCAUCCUCGACGACAUGGGCGACAACGUCAACGCCGGCGGUGCUACACCCACUGCACCGUAUGUUAUUCUCUCCUUCUUGUUCGAGAUCAUGGUAGAAUUCAUGUUUCUAGUAUAUGUGCCCUAGAUGUGAUCUGUUCAUCUACUAUGGUAGUUCGCAUGAUUAGUUUAAUCUCUGUUAUUGCUGUCAUGAUCUAUUUCCUAUUUAUUCGGAUUAAAUCUCGUAGUAAUUUUCUCAUUUUUCCAACAAUCCAAAAACCUGAUUAUAGGAAAUUUACUCCGAGUGGUUUUGCUGCGCAUCUGAAAGCCGCUUGCCUUUAAGGGGGCGCAAUAUAAGAGGUGGCGCACCAGAGCAGUCUACUGGUUUCAGAUCAUGGGCUGCUAUGACGCCACCAAGGGCAAGCCUGAGGGCGAUCUUAAUCCAGCACAGCUGGAAGCUUUCAAGAAGAUCAAUACCCUCUUUAAAGGCACGCUUCUGAGUGUUCUUGAUGACUCCAUUGUAGAUUCGUAUAUGUCGUUUGACAAUGGCAAGAACAUGUGGGCUACGCUCGAGGCCAAGUUUGGUGCCUCGGACGCCGGCAGCGAGUUGUACGUCAUGGAGCAAUUCUAUGACUCCAAGAUGACUGAUGGGCGCCCUGUUGUACAGCAGGCUCAUGAGAUACAGUUGCUCGCAAAAGAACUUGAGUACUUCAAGUGUGUGUUGGCGAACAAAUUUGUUGCCGGAGGCAUCAUUGCCAAGCUUCCACCUUCGUGGAACAAUUUUGCUACUUCCCUGAAACACAAGAGACAGGAGUUUUUCGUUGCGGAUCUCAUUGGUACUCUUGAUGUUGAAGAGAAGGCGAGAGCAAAGGAUACACGUGCUUGAGUUGCUAAGGGAGGUUCUAGUGCCCACAUGGUACAGAAGAAGAACUUCCAGCCCAACAAGUUCAAAAACAACAAGAACAAAACUUAGGGCAAAGGCAAGUUCGAUACAAAGAACAAGCCAUCACAUUCUACCAACUUCAAGAAGAACUCUCAUAAGAAGGGGAAGGGACUUUGCCAUGUCUAUGGUGAUCCUAAUCACUGGGCUCCGAAGUGUCCCAACCGCUUUGAGGAGCGCGAACAUGAGAAGAGCGGCAAGUCUGCUAAUGUUGUCAUCGGUGAUACUGAUAUGAAGGAAUCAGGGUACGGUAUUUUUCCUACCAUCCUUUCAGUAUUCCAAACCCCUGACUGGUUAAUUGACACCGGUGCCAAUGUACAUGUUUGUGCUGAUGCCUCCAUGUUUUCUUCUUACCAGGCCACUGGGACUUCUCCUAUGCUGAUGGGGAACGGGUCACAUGCCAUCGUUCGAGGUGUUGGUACGGUCGAUCUGAAGUUUACUUCGGGGAAGACCGUGCGUCUGAAGAACGUUCAUCAUGUGCCGUCCAUCAAUAAAAAUCUCGUUAGCGGUUCCCGUUUAUGUCGAGAUGGUUUUAAGUUGGUUUUCGAAUCCAAUAAAGUUAUAAUUUCUAAGUAUGGACAAUUUGUUGGAAAAGGCUAUGAGAGCGGAGGCUUGUUUCGCCUGUCUUUGUCAGAUAUUUGCACUAAAGUUAUUAAUAAUGUUUGCCACAACAAUGAGUCUGAUAUUUGGCAUUCACGACUUUGUCACAUUAACUUUGGUUGCAUGACGCGGCUAGCCAAUAUGAAUUUAAUUCCGAAAAUCUCUACUGUCAAAGGAUCUAAGUGCCAAGUAUGUGUGCAAGGUAAGCAACCUCGCAAGUCCCAUAAGACUGCAGAGGCAACAGACUUGGCGCCACUAGAGCUUAUACAUUCUGAUAUUUGUGAGAUGAAUGACGUGUUGACAAAAGGUGGAAAGAGAUACCUCAUGACGUUGAUUGAUGACUCCACUAGAUAUUGUUAUGUGUAUCUUAUGAAAUCAAAAGAUGAGGCUUUGGCUUUCUUCAAAAACUAUAGAGCUGAGGCAGAGAACCAACUUGAUCGAAAAAUUAAACGGCUUAGGUCCGAUCAUGGUGGAGAGUAUUUUUCCAAUGAAUUUGAUCUAUUUUGUGCGGAACAUGGUAUAAUCCAUGAGAGGAUGCCUCCCUACUCACCCCAGUCAGAUGGGGUAGCCGAAAGAAAGAACCAAACUCUAACUGAUAUGGUUAACACCAUGUUAGACACUUCGGGUCUAUCCAAGGAAUGGUGGGGGGAGGCGCUAAUGACUGCGUGUCAUGUCCUAAACCGAGUUCCCACAAAGCAUAAGACCAUGACUCCAUUUGAGGAAUGUUAAAGGAAAAGGUUGAAACUCUCUUACCUACGUACUUGGGGUUGUUUGGCGAAAGUCAAUAUACCAAUUCCCAAGAAGCGCAAGCUUGGACCAAAAAUCGUGGGUUGUGUUCUUCUUGGCUAUGCUUUUCAUAGCAUCGGCUAUAGAUUUUUGAUAAUAAAAUCUGAGGUAUCCGACAUGCAUGUUGGUACGAUUAUGGAGUCGAAUGAUGCAACUUUUUUUGAGGACAUAUUUCCUAUGAAGGAUAUGUCGAGUUCAUCAAAUCAGGAGACACCUACUCCAUCUAGUGAGGAAUUCAUUGUAAUUCCUGAACCCACCAUUGCGAUGGAACACAUUGAGAAUCCUGUUGAGGGUGACAAUGGAACUCUUGUGAGGAGUAAGAGACAUAGGACUACAAAGUCCUUUGGUGAUGAUUUCAUUGUGUACCUCGUGGAUGACACACCCAGGACUAUUUCAGAAGCCUGUGCAUCUCUUGAUGCUGACUACUGGAAGGAAGCUGUACGUAGCGAGAUGGAUUCCAUCUUAGGUAACGGAACCUGGGAGAUCACUGACCGUCCUUAUGGGUGAAAACCUGUAGGAUGUAAGUGGGUGUUCAAGAAGAAGCUUAGACCUGAUGGUACGAUUGAAAUGUACAAGGCACGGCUUGUGGCCAAGGGUUAUACCCUGAAAGAAGGUGUAGACUUCUUUGAUACUUACUCACCCGUGGCUAGACUGACCACAAUUGGGUGCUACUAUCACUUGUUGCCUCACAUGGUCUUCUCGUUCAUCAAAUGGACGUUAAGAACGCUUUCCUCAAUGGAGAGUUGAAGGAGGAAAUUUACAUGGAUCAGCCAGAUGGUUUUGUAGUACCUGGUUAGUAAGGAAAGGUGUGCAAGUUAUUAAAGUAUUUAUAUGGCCUUAAACAAGCUCCUAAAGAGUGGCAUGAGUAGUUUGAAAGAACAUUAACUGCUACCGGCUUUGUAGUAAACGAUGGUGACAAGUGCGUGUACUAUCGCUAUGGUGGGGGCGAAGGAGUUAUUCUUUGUUUGUAUGUCGACGACAUAUUGAUCUUUCGAACCAAACUUGAUUUAAUCAAGGAGGUUAAGGAUUUCUUAUCUCGCUGUUUUGAGAUGAAGGAUCUAGGAGUAGCUGAUGUUAUCUUAAACAUCAAGCUGUUGAGAGAUGAGAAUGGUGGGAUCACACUGCUUCAGUCACACUAUGUGGAAAAGGUCUUGAAUCGUUUUGGGUAUAGCGACUGCACACCUUCUCCAACCCCAUAUGAUGCUAGCAUGUUGCAUCGAAAGAAUCGACGGAUUGCUAGAGAUCAACUGAGGUAUUCUCAUAUUAUUGGCUCGCUUAUGUAUUUGGCGAGUGCCACGAGGCCAAACAUCUCGUUUGCUGUUAGCAAGCUGAGUCGGUUUGUGUCAAAACCAGGAGAUGAUCAUUGGCAUGCACUUGAGAGAGUUAUGUGCUAUUUGAAAGGCACCGCGAGCUAUGGGAUUCACUACACCGGGUAUCCAAGAGUACUGGAGGGUUAUAGUGACUCAAACUGGAUAUCUGAUGCUAAUGAGAUUAAGGCCACAAGUGGUUAUGUUUUUACACUUGGUGGUGGCGCUGUUUCUUGGAAGUCCUGCAAGCAGACCAUCUUAAUGAGGUCAACUAUGGAAGCAGAACUCACAACAUUAGAAACUGCCACUGUUCAAGCAGUGUGGCUUCAUGAGCUCUUGAUGGACUUUCCUAUGAUUGAAGAACCAAUACCCCCUAUCCCAAUGAACUGUGAUAAUCAAACUAUGAUCGUCAAGAUAAAUAGUUCUAAGGACAAUAUGAAGUCCUCAAGGCAUGUGAAGAGGAGACUGAAAUCUGUCAGAAAAUUGAGGAACUCCGGAGUUAUUACGUUGGAUUAUAUCCAAACGUCAAAAAAAUUGGCAGAUCCCUUCACAAAGGGUCUAUCACGUAAUGUGAUAGAUAAUGCAUCGAUGGAGAUGGGUCUGAGACCCACCGCAUGAGUUGUCCAUAGUGGUAACCCACUCUUUGUGAUCGGAUAUCCCGUGAAGUAUAAGUGGGAGACAAGCUGUUGGUCAGCUGGGAGGAGAGUAUCCCUAUAUUACCUGUCCCACUCCAUGAAGAUGCAAUACUCUCCUAAUCUGCAUGGCAGGUUGAUACUUAUCUUAAUGUGUUCCAAGUGGCUUAUUCGGGUAAGCAGAGAUGUUGUCCUGCAGAACAUCUUCUGAGGAACACACCUAUAUGAAUUUGACUGUUAACGUCGCAGUCUGUGAGAAUUGGGUGUUCUCUAAUAAAUUCAUGAAAAGGCCCUGGAGUAUGACGUAUACGCUCCACCCGCAGGGAAGCCUUGCGGCAGCCCAGUAUCGGUCAAGAAUUUGUGUGAAACUAGUUGCGCAGAAAAUUUGUAGUUCAAGGCAUAGUCCACUAUUCAAGUUGUGAUCUAGUGUAGCAUAAAUCUCUAAGUGGAAGUUCAACUUCACAGUCUCCACUAAGCCCCGGUAUAUAAACAAUGUUUUGGAACUAAAUGAUGAGAUGUGCCAAUGAGACUUUGUGGGGGAUUGUUGGAAUUUUGCUAGUAGGCCUUUGGCCCAAAGCCCAACUAAAAUUCUGAAAUUGUCUUGGCCCAUUCAUGCACACAUGUGAGUGGAGUGAGUGAGACUAAAGUUUAGUCCCACCCCGGAAGUUGAGAGAGAGCACCUCUUUAUAAGGUGAGCUCUUCUACCACUUGUAUGAGCAUGAGAAUAGGAGACCUACACACGCGCUCCUCCUCCUCGCUCGCCACGCCACCCCUCGUCACGACGCGCCGCGGGUUGCGGGAUUGAGCCGAGCCGAGGACAGAGCUAUGCACAUUGUCUAUUUUUUGCUACCCGAAAAAAUUAAUGAGUCAUUAAUUAAUAAUUAAUGGACACGUUAAUUACUAAACCGUUUUCGAUUCUUUUGGAUCAUGAAGACUCGGACAUGGGGUUUACUCCCACGACCUACCGGGCCCGCAUUAUAUAGUCCGGCAGACGUCUACCCUAGCUGCCGCCGCUUCAUAUGGUUUCUUACCACCGUUCCAGAUCAUUGCGCCGCCAAGCAAGUCUUCUCCAUCCGUCCCUUCGGCGUGCAUCGGGAGAAGGGACAACAGGCCUCCGGAACCCCGCCUCUCGUGAUCCUGUACGGGAGAGGGGCGAUCAGGUUUUUGGGGAGCGCACUCGCGCGACUGCUGGCAGCGACGACUUCGCGAAUGACGACUUUUUCCCUGACCUCGGCAACCUCAUCCUCGACGACAUGGGCGACAACGUCAACGCCGGCGGUGCUGCACCCGCUGCACCUUAUGUUAUUCUAUCCUUCUUGUUCGAGAUCAUGGUAGAAUUCACGUUUCUAGUAUAUGCCCUAGAUGUGAUCUGUUCAUCUACUAUGCUAGUUCGCAUGAUUAGUUUAAUAUCUGCUAUUGCUGUCAUGAUCUAUUUCCUAUUUAUUCGGAUUAAAUCUCGUAGUAAUUUGCUCAUUUUUCCAAUAGUACCAUCUAAUAGAUGAUGUAAAUCUCCUCUAGUUUGACGUUGUUGAGCUAAUUUACAAAAAAAACCUCAUCAUUAUUGGACGUCCUUAACAGCUCAAGAACAAGUUGGGGUCGAACUAAUGGAUUUUACACUUUUACAUUAAAGGUUUAGCUAAAGCUAGCAGGUGUUUUUAAACCUGAAUUUUUUUCCUCCUGAAUUUCUUUGUAUUUUCUUAUUGACACUAUUUAUACAAUCAUCUGACAAAGAUUAGCUAAAGCUGUUUGUAGAUACGUUGAAACCUGAAAAGCUUCUUUGGUUAUCCUUUUAAUAGUUCUACGUUUAUUUUCUCAUAGGUCAUAAUUCUUAUGUAAUACCAAGAUGCAUUGUGGUAGUGUACAUGUGUUAAAUUCAGGUUGUUAUUCACAAUUUGCGACAAAAUUUAGCUCACGCUACAUUCAAAUAUGUUGAAAUGUGAAAGCUUUUUUUUCUUCUCCUUUCUACACCUUGCAUCGGAUUGCAUCCCUUUAGUUAUCCAACAUUUUGUACAACAUGUAGAGAUUAGGAAGUUCAUCAUAGUUUGUUUAUUUCGGUGCUAAUAAAUGUAUGAAAUCUGCAUUUCCAAGCUACUAGGACAAGUAAAAAAUAAUAAUUUUACUAUAGGAUUCAAAAACAGCAGUUCUGAAGUGCACUUUAUUUAUUUUUGAAAGUGAUCACAUUUUGUUUCAUUUUUCUAUAGACAAAUCUACUAAUACAUACUCACGAUAAAACUAUAAAAGUUCUAGUCCGCACAUUGGGCGGGCCACCCGGCUAGUUAGUCUAAAGAUAACAAAAUGAGUCUGGAAUUUGAAUUAAAUUGAAGUAUUUUCUUGGACUUUCAAAUUGAGUUUUAUUAAAGUAGUAAGGACUAUCCACAUCCUUGGCUUGCCCCUGAUCAAUUAUUUCCAGAGAAGCAUUCAAUUCAUCAAUCAAUUACAUUGAUUUUAGUGGCUGGUACUUCUCCUCAACAUCAGUAUAUUCACCGUGGCCACUCCAAAUCGGCAAGAAUGAGGUACCAGUGCUCUGGAGCAGUGCAAGCUAAUUGCUUCUCAUCUGAAGGGGUGCGGCCGCAGGAGAGGUAUUUCUGGUGGGCCAAGGGACUAAGAAGCGACUGUGGCAGCGGUAUAGACGCCCGCAAAGCCCCAUAAUUUGUUUUUGGUUUACAGGAAAAAUGCACAUCCAUACCAGCCUGGGGAAUAUAGGACCGUAUUGGAUGGAAAACCAUGUCCGGAUGGUUGCGAGCGGUUUAAGGGUUAGCUUUUGUAACGCCCGGUUAGUUAUGCUAUAGCAAUUCCCUGCUAAUGAUGUCACGUUACCACGAUUACUGUUGUUAACCUCACAAUGAUUCAAUCCCCUUCAAAUUGAAAUUUAAAAUAAAGGCAAACAUCAAAAGUUUUCAAAUAUUAAAACUAAAAUCUUUGAGAGGUGACAAAUAAUGCAUAAGUAAUUAUGGUGGAGAAACCACACUUUAAUCAAAUGUUUAAAUACUCUAAAAUGAAAAAAAACAGUUGCUUAAACUAUUAUUUAAAUGCUUUUAAAAUAGUAAAAAUCUUCUAACUAAAUUAUUUGGGUACCAAACUUUUGGUGGCAGUGGUAUAUUUAGUACAACUAAUUUAGAUGCUAAUUAUAUAAAAAGGAAAAGCAAAAGGGGGCAACCCCUCGCUGGGCCUCGGCCUAGCUGCCACUAGGCUAGCUAGGCUGGCCCCGCCGCCUCCCUUAACCCCCCCCCCCCACUCCCCAUCGAACCCAAGCCCGAUCGCCCCACUUCCCCCANNNNNNNNNNNNNNNNNNNNNNNNNNNNNNNNNNNNNNNNNNNNNNNNNNNNNNNNNNNNNNNNNNNNNNNNNNNNNNNNNNNNNNNNNNNNNNNNNNNNNNNNNNNNNNNNNNNNNNNNNNNNNNNNNNNNNNNNNNNNNNNNNNNNNNNNNNNNNNNNNNNNNNNNNNNNNNNNNNNNNNNNNNNNNNNNNNNNNNNNNNNNNNNNNNNNNNNNNNNNNNNNNNNNNNNNNNNNNNNNNNNNNNNNNNNNNNNNNNNNNNNNNNNNNNNNUUGAUCCCAUCUGGAUCGGGGAGGGUAAUGCCCCAAUCGACCCCGUUGCCGUCGCGGGAUUGCCCGCCGACGUCGCCAGGCCUCCUCCCCGCCACCCGUCUCCGGCUCGCCUCCCCUCUCGCUCCUCUUCCCCGACCCGAUCUGGAUCGUGAACGAGCAAUGAGCUCGAAGCCCCCUUCACCGGCGCCAUCACCGUGCGCCACCACCACCGCCUGAAGACCUCACCGUCGCCGAACCUUGCGUCGCCUCCUCGUAUCCCUCCCCUACUCGCGUCCUCAAGCCAGGCCGAGCCCCUUCUCGGCAACGCCGUGAGACGCCCCCGUCUCCCUCCUCUUUCCACUGCGUUCACCGCGCCGCCCGCCGUGCCCCUCGCCGUGCGCACGCCCACCACCGCACCAGCCCCCGCUCCGCGCACGACCCUACCCGCGUCCGCGCCAUGAUCCCCUUUUCCACCCUACCUUCCUGCGCUCGCCGCGGUCCUGAUGCUCCCCCGCGCCCUCUUUUGGGGGCGCCGACUGCCCCUGUCCCACUGCUCGCCGCCGUGCCUCGCCAUCGCUCUACUGCUAAGUUAUUGCUGCGCUGCGGCCGUCGCCUCUUCCCGCUGCUCCGCCAGCGCCGAAGCUCCCGAUUGGCUCCACCACUUCUCACGUUAAACCGCCGGCCUAAAUGGCCUAACCCCCGGCUAAUGAACCCCCACUAUCCCACUGACACCGGGACCCACAUUCCCUAAUUAACCAUUUAAUAAAUUAAAACUCUUAAAUUAACAUUAGUGUAUGACAUGUGCGUCCCCUAUUAAUUUAUAAUUUUACUGCUAGUUUUAUUAGUUUCUGUUUUUUCUGCAUAUUUCUUUUGUAUUUGAACAGGCUUUAUAUAAUAAUAUUUAGCGUCUCAUACACAUAUAAAUGUAAUUAUAGCAUAUACAUACAAAUAGUCUCAUCAAAUCAUGUCAUCACCAUAAUCAUCAUCCAUCACAAAGUGAUCUCUCGUCAUCAUCUCGAAAAUAGCAAUACAAGUCUCGAUUACUUGCAACUACAUCGUCAUCCAUCUAAACAAUGAUAUACGCGAGAAGCGCUAUCACUAUGAGUGAGAGCGGAACUAUGCAGUACAUGAGUUUGUAUCCCUCUCUCACAUUAGCGUGAACCUAAACUAACUACUGGCUGUUGCUCGGAAACCGGAAACCGGUACACCUGGGCCUGACACUCCGGCCACUCGUCGUAUACUCCUGGCGUAGCACUUCUUCGCCAUCGAUGAUCUAUAAACCUACAUCGUCAGAUGAGUCGAUGAUAUGCAACAUAUAUAGUUGAGCAACAGAAAGAGACAGACUUGGCAAAAAUAGAAGCAACAUAUCAUAAGCAUAAAUAACAAAGUUCAUCGUACGCAAAAUGCCCUAACUAGAGUGAUCUUCGCUAGUCGAGGAGGACGGUUUAAUUACAUCACAAAUAAUUUUUCGUCGUGCAUAACUCAAAGUUCCGUCAUACAGAAAGUAUGAACUAAAUGGACACAUUGUCAUAUUUCAAAAAUCACUCCCACAUGUCGUGCCAUCCAUCCAAGUCAAGGAGAUAGUGCCCGAGCUUAGUGAAAGGCUUUAGGUCGAGACGCUGAGCGGCUAUGCGUGUUCGGACGUCUUCCCACGACAUUUGUCCUUCUUCAUAGAACAUCCCUGUUUUUUCGACGACCUCCUUCAUCACUGGAAGAAAAAGGGCCUGUUGUCCCGGUUCUGGAACCGGGACUAAAGGGUCGGUACUAAUGCCCUGUCCCUUUAGUCCCGGUUCAAUCCAGAACCAGGACAGUUGGGCCUCCACGUGGCCUGUGCGCGGAGCCUAGGCGGGAGACCCUUUGGUCCAAUAAGCAUCCACGCAUCAGCAUUUAUGUGGUUGGGGUUUUUGUUUUUUUUGAAGGGGGGGGCAUUGGGGGUUUUGGGGGGUUAAUUUUGGUGUUUCAUAUAUUGUGUUAGCUAGCUAUAAUUAAUAGAGAGAAUUGUCCUCUCUUAUGUCCGUGCUUGCUCGACGCUACGUACUAUACAUACGUAUAGAGAGGACUAGACACGGUAGCUAGCUAGUAAGCAAACGAAGGAAAUAGAAGAUCGUCAUGAACAUAUAUGCAUACAGAGAGAAGUAAUAUCGACCACCUCUCCUUCUCCGAGAGAUUGGUCGAACAACAAGUUCUCAUAUAUCUAUCCGACACUACCGGCUACAUAUAUACAAUAAUUAUCUCUUACAAAUAUAAUCAUACGGAUUCAGGGUCCACAUAGUAUUCUCUGUCUUCAAGGAUCACGUGGUCAAGAAAGAAUGCCGCCAAUUCCUCUUGAAUUGCUCGCAUGCGAGCUGGUGCUAGGAGUUCAUCCCGCUUCCGAAACAUCUAAUUUAAAGAAGGGGGUUAAUACAUAUAUACAUAUAUAUAUAUAUAUAUAUAUAUAUAUAUAUAUAUAUAUAUAUAUAUGAAUGAAUGAAACUCAACACGAAUGAUGGUAAUAAAAUAAAAUUGUGAAUGUUGUUAUUUACGUACUUCAUAUUGUUCGUCAGUGUAGCCCCGCUCAUAGGUCGUGUGGCGGAUGGACUCGCAAACGUAGUAUCCACAGAAAUCAUUCCUUUGUUCCUGCCACAACCACUUUAUAAGAAAUAGAGGUCAAUCAAACUGAUAAGCAAGAAUGCCAAAUGGUAUUGAUGAAACUUGUCAGGACCCCGAUUCCAAGCCACAUCGAUCUAGCCGGUAACACCUCAUAUCACUUUGCGGCCUCACGCACGAUAUUCCACGGGUGUCGCCUUACCAUGGCCCGGGACCGUUUGCGCCUUUUGGCUCACGUAUAUGAUAGUGUUGCUAGCAUCCAUAUGACAGAGAACCCGGGCCGACAUGGCUAGUCGUGAACCCAAAGUGGCACAGACCUAUGGAGACAGGCAUACAUGAAUCACAUCGAGCAUGUCGGUCAUCAGUGUGUGAUUCCGGGCUGUAGCACUGGGCUAACAGGACUCCGGGGAACCCGGGCUGUAGCAGGCUAGGCAGGACUCCGGAAGUCACCGCGUGACAUUUACCCGAAGGGACAGACAUAGGAACGAAGUGAAUCACAUGCCGGCAAGUCAAGUGUCCUGAGCAGUAGUACUGGGCUAGCAGGACUCCGGUGAACCGGGCUGUAGCGGACUACUAUGGCUCGAGGAACACUAGACUACAUUUCCCCAUAAGAAAGGCUGCCAAGGAUAAACAACUAGAUUGUCGGAUCCCACUCAUACCAAGCAUUUCAAUCAUACACACAAUAUGCCCGAUAUGAGUACAUACAACAUGGCAUCACAACAAAACUCUACAACUCAAGUACUUUAUUUAAAGGCUCUAGAGAGCCAUACAUAACAUGUUCAUACAGAUAGGGGUCACAUGACCCGACACUCAAGUCAUACAAUCAUACAAGCACAUGCGGAAGCAACCGGUCUGAGUACAGACACUAGAAAGAAAGAAGGCUCCUCGAGGCCUGUCUAUCUACAUAGGGCCCUCCAUGGCCAGGAUCACCACCUGGGUGGCUAGUCACUCGUCGAUGUCAAGGUCUACAUAGAACCCAUCGAAGGGGGCUGUGUUGUCGUCUGAAAACAGUAAUUAAGCAAACAUGAGUACAAAGGUACUCAGCAAGUCUUACAAAAGAACCUACUAUACAUGCUUAUUCUCAAGAAGGUGGUGGGGAUAUUGCAGCAAGCCAGUUUUCACUCUUGGCUAAACUAUCCUACAGAACUUCUCUAGUAAAAUAGUUUUCGCACACGAGUCCACUACUCACCAACACAAUACUCCACCGGGGAUCCUCCCUCGUCAUCCUAUGAGAGGGCCAUCCUCGGUACUCACACUUAUCUUGACUAUUUUAGUAGUAUCCAUUUAAUUGUCUAUGAACUGUAUAGGCAACCAAGUAGUCCUUUACCGCGGACGCGGCUAUUCGAAUAGUUUUAUACCCUGCAGGGGUGUACUUCGUCAUACAUGCUUUCACCACUUAUCGUCGUUUACACGACAUGUACUCGGCAACCUUCAAGCGAAAGCCCAGCGAGGGUGUCGGCCACGGCCUACCUAAACACUUAAGUCUCUAGUCCAGGUUUAUCGCCUAUCUAGGUUCCAUCCGCAGGGAGUCCGGGCGAGGUUUCCACAUACGGCCCCGAACGAUGUGAACAGGGUCCCGAGACGCCAAACGGGCGCCCGGCAUACCCGGCCAUGGUGUAUCUACCGCAACAUAGCCCACCCUUAGGGUCAGCGCUACGCACGGCCGCCAACACAUAACCUACAAACACCAGAAACUAUUUGCAACUCCUAGACAGAGUACAAGGGUGAUUAAGAAGCCGAGAGGGUCAAUUAAGGAUCCCAAUGCAUGGUAGUAGCUGAAUCUUAAAUCACACAUACCGAUCUCAGUUCUUAGGGACGGUCUCAAUGAAACAACCCACCAUGUACUCCUACAUGGCCUCUCAUCGAUACCUUUACCAAAACAUGUUCAACACAUUCCUCAUAUUACCGACAUAAUCAUAUCACCCUAGCCCAUCACCCAGAUGAACCAGACCUGACACAACUAUAAGCAUAGCAGGCAUAGCAAGGUAGGAAUCACAUACAUGGCUCAAUCAACUCCUACACAUGCUAGUGGGUUUCAUCUAGUUACUGUGGCAAUGACAGGUCAUGCAGAGGAUAAGGGUUCAACUAUCGUAGCACACAGCAGUUUGAAUCACAUUGUCUUAAUGCAGUAAACAAGAGCAGAGGCAAGAACAUGGGUUGUAUCGGAAUGAUCAAUGGGUUGCUUGACUGAUGGAGUGGUAGUGGGAUACUGCCCUUCAGUUGGAUACUCAUGAAUAUCCUCGGAGGCAGAACCUACCACGAAGAACACAUCGGAACACAAUCAACACAUGAUGAUAUGCAACAAUAUGAUGCAUGCUAUGACAUGGCAAUAUGAAUGUGUCUUGGCCUAAUGCAAGCUAAAAUAGAAAGGGAUGAACUCAUUUGAAUCAAAGAUUCAAAUAUUAGCUCAUUAAACAUGGCCUUAGUAGUGCAUUUCCUUAUUCUGCUUAAACAGCAAGGUAAACUUGUUUUUUCAUGCUUGAAACCAUUACAGAUGGAUAUAUUGAAUUUUUCUGAUAAUUUUUCAUAUAUAAAUUAUUUCAUUUGGAGUUACGGUUGAAUUUCUAUGAUUUUUAGAAGUUUCAAACAUUUUCUGGAAUUUCUUGAAUAAAAAUAAAUCCAGAAAAUGCAUUACUGCGUCAGCAUUGCAUCAUGCUGACCUCCGCAGGUCAAAGGCACCAGCCUAGGUCAAACCUGACUGGUGGGCCCCUUCUGUCAGUCUCUCAGUUAAAUAACAGGAUUAGAUUAACACUAAUUAGCUGUCAGUGGGGCCUGGGCCCACAUGUCACUGACUGAUUAAAAUAAAAUUAGUUAAAACUAAUCCUAGAUUAGUUAGCAAACCGGCCCCACCUGUCAUAGACUUAGGGGGGGUCUACCUGGGCCCACCCAGGGUCAAACUGGGUCAAACUCGCCGGCGCAGCUCGGAAAACGCCUACAGGGCACGAGCGAGGCCGUUCUUGGGCUCAUUGGAGAGCUCUUGCAGUCGCGCAUCUAGUGGCGGUGGUGGCCGGAGACGACGACGGCGAGCUCCAAGGCGGCGGCCGGAGUUCGGCCAUGUGCGGGGUGUCGGCUGUGGCGUGCAAACGUGGAAACUGAGGCACUAGCGAGGCACUACGCGAUGCGGCAAGCACGUUGCAUAGCACGGGAUAAUCAAAUGGUUGCCGGAGCGGCACCGGUGACAAGCUCGAGCGGAGACGAGCUUCGGCCAUGGUGGAACUAUGGCCUAGAGGGUGCAAACGCGUGGAAAAGAAGAGGGGAAAGGUGGCGGAGCUCACAGGGAGGUCGAUGAGCAGCUCAGUGGGCUCGGGGGCGACAGAAGUGAGGCGAAUCGAUGAGCAGCGUCCGGCGGGUACCGAGGUUGAAGACGAUCCGAUGGCGGCGAUGCAGGGCCUCCGGCGAUGCGUGGCUCGGUGGGAAGGGCGAGGGGGUGACGGAGGGCGCGACUACGGCGGUGAGACGGCGACGGGUGCGUCGGCCAUCGCGGGAGAGGGAGAGGGAGAUGAGUGGGAGAGUGAGAGAGGAUGAGAGGGGGACGUGGGGGUCGCGUGGCAUUCCCUGGACGUCUCCCGGCAUCGGCGGAAGCAGGAGGUGGCCGGCGUGUGGCCGCGGGCGCCGGCCACGCGCUCUGCGUCCUUCUGGCGCGAGGAGGACGACGACUGGCAGCGCCAGUAGGCUGGGCCGAGCCAGGUGGGCUGGCCAGCACAGGUAAGGCUCAGGUGGGCUUCUCCCUCUUUUUUUUAAUUUGUUUCUGUUUUCUAUUUAACUGUAAAUGUUGGGCUUUAUUUAAAAUACUAAAACAUUUCCAAAAAUCCUGAAAAUAAUUGUGGGCUCUGUUUGGAUUAUUUCCAAUAGCAAACAUUUAUUUGCAGAAUUAUUUGAGCAUUUAAAUGCCCAAAUUCAAAUACUUAUGAUUUAAAUCAAUGACCUUCUGUUGACCUAGAAAAGUUGUGCACCAAUUUUGCCAGAGGUUCUAACCCAAGACAAAGAGGGUGAACUUUUUAGAAGGGCAUUUCAGGUUCAUUGAAAAUAAUUUUAGUAAUCCCUAGUUGUUUCCAGGGGGGUGUUGGGGGUUUCUGCCUUCCCCAAUUCAAAUUUAAGAGGAAUUUAAACAUGAUGCACAUUCUAAUGCUUGAACUAGCUAGGGUGUGACAACUCACCCCCACUCAAAAGAAUCUCGUCCCGAGAUUUAGGAUCCUCUGGAAAGAAGGUGGGGUACUCGAGUCGAAGACGAUCCUCCCUUUCCCAAGUGGCUUCUUUCUCGGAAUGGUGUGUCCAUUGAACCUUGAGAAACUUGAUAUUAUGACGUCGAGUGGUACACUCGGCUUGAUCAAGGAUACGAACGGGAUAUUCCCGAUAAGAGAGGUUAUCUUGUAGAUCAAGCAUUUCGUGGUCCACUCCACGGAUAGGAUCCGCGAAGCAACGCCUGAGUUGUGAAACGUGGAAGACAUCAUGAACUCUGGAAAGAUGCGGAGGUAGUUCCAAUUGGUAGGCAACUUCUCCUCGUUUGGCAAGAAUGCGAAAGGGUCCAAUGUAACGAGGAGCCAAUUUGCCUUUGAUACCGAAAUGAUGGGUUCCUUUUAAUGGGGUAACCCGAAGGUAAGCCUUCUCGUCGAUUCAUAAGUCAUAGGCUUAUGUUUACGAUCAUAUUGACUCUUUUGACGAGAUUGGGCUGUUUUCAAUUUCUCACGAAUAACGCGAACCUGCUCUUCCGCUUCCUGAAUCAUAUCCGGGCCAAAGAGUUGUCUUUCCCCGGUUUCUGACCAGUUAAGAGGCGUUCGACAUUUUCGUCCAUAGAGAACUUCGAAAGGAGCUUUGCCCAAGCUAGCUUGAUAACUAUUGUUAUAAGCAAACUAUGCGAAUGGGAAGCAUUUCUCCCAACUCAUUCCGAAUGAGAUAACAGAAGCUCGGAGCAUAUCUUCUAGAAUUUGAUUGACUCGCUCUACUUGACCACUUGAUUGAGGAUGGAAGGCGGUACUAAAAGAGAGACGAGUUCCCAUAGCAUUUUGGAAACUUUCCCAAAAUCGAGAGGUGAAGAGACUCCCACGGUCUGAGUUAAUUUCCAAUGGGACACCAUGGAGAGACACUAUUCGGGAGAUGUAUAAAUCGGCUAGCUGGCUAGCAGUGAUACUCGCACGAACAGGUAGGAAAUGGGCUACUUUGGAAAGACGGUCGAUCACGACGAAGAUGGCAUUAUUCCCUCUCUUGUUCCUGGGAAACCCAGUAAUGAAAUCCAUACUGAUUUUAUCCCAUUUCCAUUCAGGAAUAGCCAAAGGUUGAAGGGUGCCAGCAGGCCGUUGAUGCCCUGCUUUAACACGAUGACAGACGUCGCAGCUAGCAAUGUAUCGAGCGAUUUCUCUCUUCAUCCUAGUACAUCAAAACCUCUGGCGUAGGUCUUGAUACAUUUUAUUGCUACCGGGAUGAAUGGUGAGAGGGGAUUCAUGAGCUUCCUUAAGGAUCAAUUGGCGUAGAUGUUGUUUCUUGGGAACCACCAAACGGUUCUCAAAGAAGACAGCACCCCGCUUAUCCAUGGAAAAACAUUUAGCAACUCCGCUAGCAAUGUUUUCCUUAAUCCGGGAUAUGCCCUUAUCAUACCGCUGGGCAGUUAUGAUCUGAUCCAUAAGGUUAGGUUUCGCCACCAGGGUGGAUAGGAAUCCUCGAGGAACAAUGUGAAGAUUAAGCUUACGGAAUUCCUCAUGGAGAAGUGGUUGACUUUGUUGUAACAUCAGGUUGUUACAAUAGGAUUUACGGCGUAGUGCAGCAGCCAUGACAUUGGCUUUGCCCGGUGUGUAGGUUAUUCCUAAGUCGUAAUCCGAGAUCAACUCAACCCAACGUCUUUGCCUGAGAUUCAAAUCUGGUUGGGUGAAGAUAUAUUUCAAGCUUUGGUGAUCGGUGAAGAUCUCGCAACGAUUAAGUGCAUGGACUACAGCUGCCAGCUCUAGAUCAUGUGUGGGAUAAUUUUCCUCAUGUGGGUGUAAUUGCCGUGAAGCGUAGGCAAUUACCUGACGAUCUUGCAUGAGUAUGCAACCUAGUCCUUGUCGCGAGGCGUCACAAUAGAUAAUAAAGUCCUUGGAUAAAUCAGGUGGUACCAGUACGGGAGCAGAUGUCAGGCGUCUUUUCAGUUCCUAAAAGCUGAACUCGCACUGUGGAGUCUACUCGAACUUUUUAUCUUUCUUGAGGAGUUUAGUUAGAGGUUUAGCAACCUUGGAGAAAUUCUCGACGAAGCGGCGGCAAUAGCUCGCUAAGCCAAGGAAGCUCCAAACUUGCUUGACCGUCUCAGGUGGAGUCUAAUCAAGGACGGCUUGAACUCGCUCGGGAUUGACGGCAAUACCCUUACCAGAGAUUACAUGGCCUAGAUAGGUUACUUCUGGCAACCAAAAUUCACACUUGGAGAAUUUGGCAUAAAGGCGAUGCUCUCGAAGUUUCAUCAAUACCAGCCUUAGAUGUUCGGCAUGUUCCUCUUCAUUCUUGGAGUAGAUUAGUAUGUCAUUGAGGUAUACUACGAUGAAUUUAUCCAAGUACUCCAUGAAAACCGAGUUCAUUAGCCGGGAGAAGGUAGCCGGGGCAUUGGUUAAACCGAAGGACAUAACGGUGUACUCGUAUUGGCCAUAACGAGUAACAAAGGCCGUUUUGGGAAUGUCCCCGUUUCUGAUUUAGAUUUGAUGGUAGCCCAACCUCAAAUCCAUCUUGGAAAAGACUGAGGAUCCAGCAAACUAAUCAUACAGAUCAUUGAUCCUGGGAAGUGGGUAUUUGUUCUUGAUGGUGACCAAGUUGAUAGGUCGGUAAUCCACAACCAUUCGAUCUGUUCCAUCCUUCUUGACGAAGAGGACGGGGCAAGCCCAAGGAGAGGAACUAGGACGGAUGAAACCCUUUUUCAAGGACUCAUCGAGUUGGUUCUCAAGCUCGGCUAGUUCUAAGGGUGCCAUCUUGUAGGGUCUUCUAGAAAUUAGAAUGGUUCCUGGAACAAGGUCUAUCACAAACUCGACAUCCCUGUCAGGUGGAACACCUGGCAGUUCUUCUGGAAAGGCAUCCGGAAAGUCUCGGACUACCGGAACAUCCUCAAGGUCUGGAAGGGGGUUGGCAUUUAGGGAGUAAAGUUGGCACUUGGCCACUCGAGUUAAGACAUUAACUGUCUUGCCCGAUGGGUGAGUAAGUUGAACGGUUCUAGUGGCACAGUCAAUCUUAGCAUAAUGAGCUGACAUCCAGUCCAUACCUAAGAUGAUGUUUAUGUCCGAGGACUUGAGAGCUAUUAAGGAUGCAAGGAAGACAAGUCUAUCGACAAGAAUUUCGUUCCCAUGGCUUACUCUAGAAGUUUGCCAUCUAGAGCCAGGGGUUUGAAUUUCCAUGGUAGAGGGCAUGUCACAGAAUGUCGUGUUGUGCAAUCGAGCAUAGUUCUCGGAUAUGAAUGAAUGAUAUGCUCCAGUAUCGAAAAGAACAGAUGCCGGAUGGCAGUUAACAAGGAGCGUACCAAGGACGACGUUGGGAUCCUCAUGAGCCUCCUCGGCUGAAACAUAGUUGACAUGGCCACGUGCAGUGGUGGCUGGCUUAGCGUAGAAUGUUUUUCCCGCGGGCUUACCACGGCCAACGGACUUUCCAGUUUGAUUGGGGUUGUUGUUCUGGGGACACUCUCGGCUAUAGUGACCCGGCUCUCCACACUUAAAGCAUGUCACCACAUUGGGGCGUGGAGCAGCAUUAGCAGCGGGGCCACCAUAGGGCUUGGGCGGUGCAAAUUGCUGGUUGGGACGUGGUGCCUCAAAGGAUGGCCUCGGGAUGAACCUGGGUGGCAGUGCCGUGCUUGGAAUCCACACCCGGCGCUUCUGAGCUCCAGAGCCGAUGAAGAGCCAAAAUCACGGGAGUGCUUGCGUGAAGUGUCAUAAUCAGUCUGGCCUUUCUCAGCACUGAUGGCUUUAUGGACCAACUUCUAAAAGGAGGUGCACUUGUGCAGACGAAGACCACGGUGAAGCUCAGGGCUAAGUCCCUUGCGGAACCUUGCCUGCUUCUUAGCAUCAGUAGAUACCUCUUCAGGGGCAUAACGUGCCAGAUUCCCAAAUUCACGACUGUAAGCAUCCACAGUCAGUCUUCCUUGGGUGAAGUUGCAGAACUCCUCCCUCUUGCGAUCCAUGAGACCUUCCGGAAUGUGAUGCUCACGGAAAGCCUCACUGAAUUCAGCCCAAGUAGUGAUUUGGCCGACCGGGCGCAUAGCUUCGAAGUUUUCCCACCAAAGGCUAGCAGGGCCUUUGAGGUGAUAGGCAGCAUAAGUAACCUUGUCGGCUUUGGCUACGUUGGCAGAACGUAGCUUGUGGGUGAUGCUGUGAAGCCAGUCAUCCACGUCGAGGGGCUCGACGGAAUGGUUAAACUUUGGUGGGUACAUCUUGAUAAAGUCAUUGAUUGACACCAACUCAUUUCGCGGGUGGCGUGCAGUGUUCUGCUCAAUCCGCUCCAGCAGGCGGUUGGUCUCACGCUUCUUUCUUUCUGCCUCCAGCAUUACUUCGGCCAGAGAAGGCGGGUGAGGCAGAUUUUCACCUCUAGCAGCACUGGCUUCCCCCUGCUCCGGGGCAACAGGGUUGCUGCGAGUAUUGACCAUCCUAGGAGAAAACAAGACAACGGUUUAGACAAGGAUGGCUCAAACUGAGCAAGGAUGUGCAGAAUGUAAUGGAUAACACGGAACACAGAGAUGUUCAUCCGUAUGUCAUGGUAAUAUAAAACUGCCAUAUAUAUACCAACGGUCAUACACAUCACACAUAGUUUAGUACAAGCCCAGGCUACAGUACAACUAUGAUGAAAGACGUUACAUCUCAUCGGAGGCAUUCCAAGCUCCUAUACAUUAUUGUCUACACCUUCGGAAUUGAUUACACGCAAAGUCAUAUUCCAAAAGUCACGCAGGACAGUGGAGAUACAACUACUACAAUACUAGUGGUACUACUACUAACUCAGACAGCUCCGUACUAGUCCUCAUAGAAGUCACCUCCAUAGCCUGGAAGUUCAACGUGACCAUCCGGGAACAGACGGUCCUGAGGAGCCUGUGGACCAUAGGGGCUUGGAUGGGGUCUUGGACCAACAAACGGUGGCCUGCGGGGACCACAGGGUGGGGUGAUGCCUCCCACAUCACGCCAAUCCACCACGUCUGGCAAAGCAGACCUCACAGGAUACAAAUCCCUUGUAUCCAUACAUCCAGCUUGCACCACAGGUGCAAACCGAGUCAAUGUGGCCCAAUGAUCAGCACGGGUAUUAAAAAGCUCCAGCCUCAAGGCCUGAUUCUCUCGGUCCUUAUAUUCGAGCAUCUCGGCAGUGGUACGAGUUAAUGAAUCCUCCUGAGUGGAGUCAGCAUAGAUAGCCUGAAGAUACCCUUGCGCUCCCGGAAGUGAAGCUAGCAUGUAUCGGAAGUCGGUGUUCCGAAGCAGGCCAGUCCGGACUCGCAUGAUUGUCAUCAUGGAAUAGGCAGCAUCCUGCACAGCCAUCUCAACAGUAACCCCGAGUCCAUAGGAACAGUGAAGGGGCUCGGUAGAUCCAGGAUAAGAAGGAAAUAUCUUGACGGUGCAGAAAUACUGGCUUUGAUUAAAGUCUCAGAAUUGCUCUUCGACGGUGUAUUCGGGAUACCAACGGUAACCCGUCUCGAUCAUGACCCGGACUAACAUAGCAGUAUGACCGGGCACGUCGAGCCACCGGGUCAGGCGAACCACUUUGUUUUGAGCACGGUUGGGCAUCUGAAAGCACAACCACAAUGCAAAGACAUCAGAAUUUCUAGGGAAAAUUGGACAGCAUAACAGCUGUAAAUGCUCAGAAAAAGAUUUGAGACAUCCACAACAGUUCGCAAUACCACUCAACAACAUCAUAUCAAGGUUCUGAUCCAAAUAGCAGCAUACUAAAAAUAGUAGAAACUGAACUGGGGCUUGUAACAACAAUCCUAUAAGCUACUACGGAUUAGUAACACGUGAACCUGAUAGAAGAAGAGAGACUAGUCCUUAACCCACAUUGAAUGAAAAGGGAAUGACUCAGAUAAGAGGCAUAGGGUAAAGGAGUAAAAGAGCCUUACGUUCCCUCCCACAAUCAAUUCCCCUACAUAUAACUAAAGCAUUUCCAGACUCGACAUCGACCAGUUUGGCUCAACGAACCUACAGGCAGUCCGGCACUGAUGCCAACGCUGUCAGGACCCCGAUUCCAAGACACAUCGAUCUAGCUGGUAACACCUCAUAUCACUUUGCGGCCUCACGCACGAUAUUCCACGGGUGUCGCCUUACCAUGGCCCGGGACCGUUUGCGCCUUUUGGCUCACGUAUAUGAUAGUGUCGCUAGCAUCCAUAUGAUAGAGAACCCGGGCCGACAUGGCUAGUCGUGAACCCAAAGAGGCACAGACCUAUGGAGACAGGCAUACAUGAAUCACAUCGAGCAUGUCGGUCAUCAGCGAGUGAUUCCGGGCUGUAGCACUGGGCUAACAGGACUCCGGGGAACCCGGGCUGUAGCAGGCUAGGCAGGACUCCGGAAGUCACCGCGUAACAUUUCCCCGAAGGGACAGACAUAGGAAUGAAGUGAAUCACAUGCCGGCAAGUCAAGUGUCCUGAGCUGUAGUGCUGGGCUAGCAGGACUCUGGUGAACCGGGCUGUAGCGGACUACUAUGGCUCAAGGAACACUAGACUACAUUUCCCCAUAAGAAAGGCUGCCAAGGAUAAACAACUAGAUUGCCGGAUCCCACUCAUACCAAGCAUUUCAAUCAUACACGCAAUAUGUCCGAUAUGAGUACAUACAACAUGGCAUCACAACAAAACUCUACAACUCAAGUACUUUAUUUAAAGGCUCUAGAGAGCCAUACAUAACAGGUUCAUACAGAUAGGGGUCACAUGACCCGACACUCAAGUCAUACAAUCAUACAAGCACAUGCGGAAGCAACCGGUCUGAGUACAGACACUAGAAAGAAAGAAGGCUCCUCGAGGCCUGUCUAUCUACAUAGGGCCCUCCAUGGCCAGGAUCACCACCUGGGUGGCUACUUACUCGUCGACGUCAAGGUCUACAUAGAACCCAUCGGAGGGGGCGGUGUUGUCGUCUGAAAACAGUAAUUAAGCAAACAUGAGUACAAAGGUACUCAGCAAGUCUUACAACAGAACCUAGUAUACAUGCUUAUACUCAAGAAGGUGGUGGGGAUAUUGCAGCAAGCCAGCUUUGACUCUUGGCUAAACUAUCCUACGGAACUUCUCUAGUAAAAUAGUUUUCGCACACGAGUCCACUACUCGCCAACACAAUACUCCACAGGGGAUCCUCCCUCGUCAUCCUAUGAGAGGGCCAUCCUCGGUACUCACACUUAUCUUGAGUAUUUUAGUAGUAUCCAUUUACUUGUCUAUGAACUGUAUAGGAAACCAAGUAGUCAUACACGCUAUUCGGAUAGUUUUAUACCCUGCAGGGGUGUACUUCGUCAUACACGCUUUCACCACUUAUCGCCGUUUACAUGACAUGUACUCGGCAACCUUCAAGCGGAAGCCCAGCGAGGGUGUCGGCCACGGCCUACCUAAACACUUAAGUCUCUAGUCCAGGUUUAUCGCCUAUCCAGGUUCCAUCCACAGGGAGUCCGGCCGAGGUUUCCACAUACGGCCCCGAACGAAGUGAACAUGGUUUCGAGACGCCAAACGGGCGCCCGGCAUACCCGGCCACGGUGUAUCUACCGCAACAUAGCCCACCCCUAGGGUCAGCGCUAUGCACGGCCGCCAACACAUAACCUACAAACACCAGAAACUAUUUGCAACUCCUGGACAGAGUACAAGGGUGAUUAAGAAGUCGAGAUGGUCAAUUAAGGAUCCCAAUGCAUGGUAGUAGUGAAUCUUAAAUCGCACAUACAGAUCUCAGUUCUUAGGGACGGUCUCAAUGAAACAACCCACCAUGUACUCCUACAUGGCCUCUCAUCGAUAUCUUUACCAAAACAUGUUCAACACAUUCCUCAUAUUACCGACAUAAUCAUAUCACCCUAGCCCAUCACCCAGAUGAACCAGACCUGACACAACUCUAAGCAUAGCAGGCAUAGCAAGGUAGGAAUUAUAUACAUGGCUCAAUCAACUCCUACACAUGCUAGUGGGUUUCAUCUAGUUACUGUGGCAAUGACAGGUCAUGCAGAGGAUAAGGGUUCAACUACUGUAGCACACAGCAGUUUGAAUCACGUUGUCUUAAUGCAGUAAACAAGAGCACAGGCGAGAACAUGGGUUGUAUCGGAAUGAUCAAUGGGUUGCUUGCUUGAUGGAGUGGUAGUGGAAUACUGCCCUUCAGUGGGAUACUCGUGAAUAUCCUCGGAGCCAGAACCUACCACGAAGAACACAUCGGAACACAAUCAACACAUGACGAUAUGCAACAAUAUGAUGCAUGCUAUGACGUAUCUUGGCCUAAUGCAAGCUAAAAUAGAAAGGGAUGAACUCAUUUGAAUCAAAAAUUCAAAUAUUAGCUCAUUAAACAUGACCUUAGUAGUGCAUUUCCUUAUUCUGCUUAAACAGCAAGGUAAACUUGUUUUGUCAUGCAUGAAACCAUUACAGAUGGAUAGAUUGAAUUUUUCUGAUAAUUUUUCAUAUAUAAAUUAUUUCAUUUGGAGUUACGGUUGAAUCUCUAUGAUUUUUAGAAGUUUUAAACAUUUUCUGGAAAUUACUGAAUAAAAAUAAAUCCAAAAAAUGCAUUACGGCGUCAGCAUUGUGUCAUGCUGACCUCAGCAGGUCAAAGGCGCCAGCCCAGGUCAAACCUGACUGGUGGGCCCCUUCUGUCAGUCUCUCAGUUAAAUAACAGGAUUAGAUUAACACUAAUUAACUGUCAGUGGGGCCUGGGCCCACAUGUCAGUGACUGAUUAAAAUAAAAUUAGUUAAAACUAAUCCUAGAUUAGUUAGCAGACCGGCCCCACCUGUCAUAGACUCAGGGGGGUCUACCUGGGCCCACCCAGGGUCAAACUGGGUCAAACUCGCCGGCGUUGAGCCGCCGGCGAGACCCGAGACAGUGGCGCAGCUCGGAAAACGCCUACAGGGCACGAGCGAGGCCGUUCUUGGGCUCGUUGGAGAGCUCUUGCAGUCGCGCAUCUAGUGCUGGUGGUGGCCGGGCCUACGGUGGCCGGAGACGACGACGGCGAGCUCCAAGGCGGCGGCCGGAGUUCGGCCAUGUGCGGGGUGUGGGCUGCGGCGUGCAAACGUGGAAACUGAGGCGCUAGCGAGGCACUACGUGAUGCGGCAAGCACGUUGCGUAGCACGGGAUGACCAAAUGGUCGCCGGAGCGGCGCUGACGACAAGCUCGAGCGGAGACGAGCUUCGGCCAUGGUGAAACUAUGGCCUAGAGGGUGCAAACGCGUGGAAAAGAAGAGGGGAAAGGUGGCGGAGCUCACAGGGAGGUCGAUGAGCAGCUCAGUGGGCUCGGGGCGACCGGAGUGAGGCGAAUCGACGAGCGGCGUCCGGCGGGUACCGAGGUUGAAGACAAUCCGAUGGCGGCGAUGCAGGGCCUUCGGCGAUGCGUGGCUCGGUGGGGAGGGCGAGGGCGUUACGGCGGAGCUUCUGGACAGGUCAGAGAGGCGAGGUGGUGAUGGAGGGCGCGACUAUGAUGGUGAGACGGCGAUUAAAAAGAAAGAUCUGGUUCACUCGUACGUGAAAAAAGUAGCAAGCGCUCGAUGCCUUCCUUUGCAUCGAUGCCAGACGCGGUGCUGGGAAUCGACAAGAUAACCGCCAAUCUACCACGAUUAAAUUCCUAGCGCCUCCUUCUAGCGCCUCCCACUGAAAAUGCCCUAAAGGUUUUGGAGGGAUUUUUUUACUGUGUCCUACUUCACGAAUCACGAGGCAAAUCAAGUAGCCGGCAUGGCCUGGCCGGUGAGUGCCAUUGCACUUACUUGCCCCAGCAAUUUUCCGCGUGCAUUGUAGAAUUCUUUCUCCGAGUCCUGUGAAUUAAAGAUGGUGCAGACAAAAAUAUAUCCUAUAUGCGUACAUGUGCAUGAUCAGAACAUGUUUUUACGUGCGUCUACUAUAAAUCAUGACCAUUUUUAACACAAAUCAUGACCAUUCAUGAUUAGUGAAUCAUACUGUCUUAACUUAUGUGAAAUCAUGUGGAGUAAUAUAAUAUAAUAUAAUAAAUAGAUAGAUCCAUGUUGUAUUAUUUUUUGUUUACAAAAAAUAUCUGUCAUUACACAUUUUGAUUUAUGCAUUUGUUUACAAAAAAAACAGUAACAUUUCAUGGUGGAAAGUUUGUAUUGUUUCAUACUGAACACCAAUGUUUUCCUGUAAAAGAAAAUAAUGCCUACGCAUAUGCUUUUAUAUUAUUAUUAUUCUUUCAAACUUAUUCAUACAGUAUUUUUGAUUGUGCAACCAUAAUUUUUAUUGUCUCUCUCGUUCCACUACAUGCUCUUACUCAAUGAUUUUUUUAUAACGGGUGUUUUUAUUAACUCAAAAUAUAGUAUCAAGCGGAUACAAAACAUAAUGAGCCACACCUGGUCUCUGCAUAACUAAGAUGCACACAGCCAAAAGCAGAUGUCUGACAAAAAUAAGAUAAGAAAAUCGACAUAUCGACAACAGUGAGUCAUAUAGUCCCGACACUAUGCCCCCGUUGAAGGACGGGGUGGAGCGAUCUGGAGAUUAUGCUGCCCUCCAUGUUGAGUAAAUACCUCCCUGGCCACUUGUUCCAAACGCAUAGACGCCGCCACGAAUAAUGGUCGGUACUCUGUUCAGUGUAGCAUACACCAUGUAGGAAGUGAGUGCUCACUCCUAGUUACUAAAUUAUGUACACACUAGUAGAAAAAGGGCCAUUUGUCCCGGUUCGUAAGGCCCAUUUGUCCCAAUUGGGGAACCGGGACUAAAGGGUCGGUACUAAAGCCCUACACCUUUAGUCCCGGUUCUUACACCAACCGAGACAGAUGGGGCUCCACGUGGCCGCUACAGCUUGCCGUGGCAGGGGGGCCUUUUGUCCCGGUUGGUAGCACCAACCGGGACCAAUAAGCUACCACGCGUCCGCAUUUGAGGGGCUAGGGUUUUUGUUUUUUUUCUGAAGGGGGGGGGGUGGGUUUGUAUGGUUAAUUUUGGGGGGUUUCACAUAUUGUGUUAGGUAGCUAAUUAAUUAAUAGAGAGAAGUGUCCUCACUUAUCUCCGUGCUUGGUCGACGCUACGUACUAUACGUAUAGAGAGGCCCUCAACACGCUAGCCAGUAAGCAAAUGAAGUAAACCAUUAAGUACAGAAGUUCGUCAUGAACAUAUGCAUACAAACAUAAGUGAUAUCGACCUCUCCUUCUCCGAGAGAUAGGUCGAACAACAAGUUUCCGUAUAUCUAUCCGGCGCUACUAGCUACAUAUAUACAAUAUUAAGAUCUCUUACAAUAUAAUCCCCUAAUUAUAUAUGAACUCAGCUUCCAGAUGGUAUUCUCCGGCUUUAUUGAUGGCGUGGUCAAGAAAGAUUCCCUCCAAUUCCUCUUGAAUUGCUUUGAUGCGAUCUUGUGGUAGGAGUUCAUCUCGCAUCUGCCACAUCUAAUUUGAAGAAGGGGGUCAAUCACCAGUAGAAUAACAACCAUUUGUCCUGGUUCAUAAGGUUAAUUUGUCCCGGUUGGGGAACCGAGACUAAAGGGUCUUUACUAAAGCCCUACACCUUUAGUCCUGGUUCUUACACCAACUGGGACAGAUGGGCCUCCAUGUGGCUGCUGCGGCGAGCCCAGGCCGGAGGUCCUUUGGUCCCGGUUAGUGGCACUGAUACGUCUCCAACGUAUCUAUAAUUUUUGAUUGCUCCAUGCUAUUAUGUUAUCUAUUUUGGAUGUUAAUGGCUUUAUUUUACACCUUUAUAUCAUUUUUGGGACUAACCUACUAAUCGGAGGCCCAACCCAAAUUGUUGUUUUCUACCUAUUUUAGGUUUUCGAAGAAAAGGAAUAUCAAACGGAGUCCAAACGGAAUGAAACCUUCGAGAACGUGAUUUUCUCAAUGAACAUGAUUCAGGAGAAUUGGAGUGUGCUCCAAGAAACAAGGGAGGAAGGCACGAGGCAGGGGGCGCGCCUACCCCCUUGGGCGCGCCCUCCACCCUCGUGGGCCCUCCGCUGCUCCACCGACGUACUUCUUCCUCCUAUAUAUAUCCACGUACCCCCAAACAUCCAGGAGCACCACGAAAACCUAAUUCCACCGCUGCAACCUUCUGUACCCGAGAGAUCCCAUCUUGGGGCCUUUUCCGGAGGUCCACCGGAGGGGGCAUCGAUCAUGGAGGGCCUCUACAUCAACUCCAUGGCCUCUCCGGUGAUGUGUGAGUAGUUUACUUCAGACCUAGGGGUCUAUAGUUAUUAGCUAGAUGGCUUCUUCUUCUCUCUUUGGAUCUCAAUACAAAGUUCUCCUCGAUUUUCUUGGAGAUCUAUUUGAUGUAACCUUCUUUUGCGGUGUGUUUGUCGAGAUCCGAUGAAUUGUGGGUUUGUGAUCCAGAUUAUCUAUGAACAAUAUUUGAUUCUCCUAUGAAUUCUAGUAUGUAUGAUUGGUUUAUCUUUGCAAGUCUCUUCGAAUUAUCAGUUUGGUUUGGCCUACUAGAUUGAUUUCUUGCAAUGGGAGAAGUGCUUAGCUUUGGGUUCAAUCUUGCAGUGUUUGAUCCCAGUGACAGAAAGGGAACCGAUACGUAUUGUAUUGUUGCCAUCGAGGAUAAAAAGAUGGGGUUUAUAUCAUAUCGCAUGAGUUUAUCCCUCUACAUCAUGUCAUCUUCCUUAAAGCAUUACUAUGUUCUCUUGAACUUAAUACUCUAGAUGCAUGCUGGAUAGCGGUCCAUGUGUCGAGUAAUAGUAGUAGAUGCAGAAUCGUUUCGGUCUACUUGUCUCGGACGUGAUGCCUAUAUACAUGAUCAUACCUAGAUAUUCUCAUAACUAUGUUCAAUUCUGUACAAUAUGGUGCACGGGGUUACAUCGGCCUGCAAAGACAUUUCUGCGAUGUGAGACAUCCGAAAAGCAACGAAAACGGGAGAUUAUACAUUUAUUGAAGAGGGCAGGUGUGACAGAUACCGUGAGGGCGUCGAGCUCAGCCAAAGACGAUGGACAGCUGAGCACGGCCUGUGUCAGAGCCGGUGCGGGAGCAGGUGCAGGUGCAGGUGCUGGUGCAACGCUAGUCGAGCUGCUCCUGAAGAAGUCAACAAUGGGAAAGUCCGCUGCAUUUUUUCUGCAUUUUGCGUGCUCCAAUUGAAAAUGGCUGGAACCAAGACAGUAGACAUAUCUGCAACCACCUGUUUUCCGGCAGCUACCGCUGUCGCGACUGUCUCAGAUGAUUUCUUCUCAACCGCAAUCUCAACCUUCUUGUCGAUGUUUUAUUCGGUUAACCUCCAUCUUUCCUUUCUCUCCUCCGUGGUCUCACGGUAGUACUUCUUCCACGUGGCCCCGUCUCCGACACCGUGAACGCGUCCAUACGACGACCGAGUCUCCACGGGGAGUCCUUUCAAUAUGUUCAAUGCCCGGUUGAAUGGAGUGUCCCACUUGGGCCUUGCCAAUGCCUCAGACGGCGAGUCGCUUUCGGCCGCAAUCUUAUGCUGCUCUCUCUACAAAAGGAACACGGAUCAUUUACAAAUAUGACUAAACGUGCAGUCGAACUGAUCAGAAACUAAAAUUACCAGCAGUCUCAUGAACUCCGUCGUGAUCGGGUCCGUCUUGAAAACCUUCUUGACUGAGUCCCAAUGGUGUCGUGCCCUGAGGACGUCAUGCUCCUACGGGACGGUGAAGUCCGCCAAGGGGUCUGGGAUGCCAGAUUUUCGCGUUUCGUGUCCUCCUUGGCCCAUAUGGACCUCUUCCUGCCGUAACCACUGCUUCCGAGGUGGUGGCGCCCCAUGUUCCUUUGUGGAAGCCCCUUCAUGUACUUCGACUUUGUUUUGGCAGCUUCGGCCUCGCAAGCCGCCUUGAAUAUUUCAAAGUGUUCUCUAGUGAUUGUCAGAUUAUCCUUUACAAUCUCGGAGUAGGGUUGAUACGUCUCCAACGUAUCUAUUAUUUUUGAUUGCUCCAUGCUAUAUUAUCUACUGUUUUGGACAUUAUUGGGCUUUAUUAUCUACUUUUAUAUUAUUUUUGGGACUAACCUAUUAACCGGAGGCCCAGCCUAGAAUUGUUGUUUUUUGACUGUUUUAGGGUUUCGAAGAAAAGGAAUAUCAAACGGAGUCCAAACGGAAUGAAACCUUCGGGAACGUGAUUUUCUGAAUGAACAAGACCCUGGAGACUUGGACCCUACGUCAAGACACAAAAGAGGAGGACACGAGGUAGGGGGCGCGCCUAACCCCCCCCCCCCCUCGAGGCACGCCCUCCACCCUCGUGGGGCCCCUGUUGCUCCACCGACGUACUCCUUCCUCCUAUAUAUACCUACGUACUUCCAAACGAUCAGAUACGGAGCCAAAACCCUAAUUCCACUGCCGCAACUUUCUGUAUCCACGAGAUCCCAUUUGGUGCCUGUUCCGGAGCUCCGCCGGAGGGGGCAUCGAUCACGGAGGGCUUCUACAUCAACACCAUAGCCUCUCCGAUGAAGUGUGAGUAGUUCACCUCAGACGUACCGGUCCAUAUUUAUUACCUAGAUGGCUUCUUCUCUCUUUUUGGAUCUCAAUACAAUGUUCUCCCCCUCUCUUGUGGAGAACUAUUCGAUGUAAUCUUGUUUUUGCAGUGUGUUUAUUGAGAUUGAUGAAUUGUGGGUUUAUGAUCAAGUCUAUGUAUGAAUAAUAUUUGAAUCUUCUCUAAAUUCUUUUAUGUAUGAUUGUUUAUCUUUGCAAGUCUCUUCGAAUUAUCAGUUUGGUUUGGCCUACUAGAUUGAUCUUUCUUACAAUGGGAGAAGUGCUUAGCUUUGGGUUCAAUCUUGCGGUGUCCUUUCCCAAUGACAGUAGGGGCAGCAAGGCAUGUAUUGUAUUGUUGCCAUCGAGGACAACAAGAUGGGGUUUUCAUCAUAUUGCAUGAGUCUAUCCCUCUACAUCAUGUCAUCUUGCUUAAGGCGUUACUCUGUUUUUAACUUAAUACUCUAGAUGCAUGCUGGAUAGCGGUCGAUGAGUGAAACCUAUGGCCCCCGGGUCUAUCUUUAUCAUAUUAAUCUCCUACUACUUAGUUAUUUCCUUUGCUUUUUCCUUUGCCUUUAUUUUACUUUUGAUCUUUAUCACAAAAAUACCAAACAUAUUAUCUUUAUCAUAUCUAUCAGAUCUCACUCUCGUAAGUGGCUGUGUAGGGAUUGACAACCCCUAUUCGCGUUGGUUGCGAGGAUUUAUUUGUUUUGUGCAAGUACGAGAGACUCGCGCGUAGCCUCCUACUGGAUUGAUACCUUGGUUCUCAAAAACUGAGGGAAAUACUUACACUACUUUGCUGCAUCAUCCUUCCUCUUCGCGGAAAACCAACGUAGUGCUCAAGAGCUGGCAAUAAGGAUUUCUGGCGCCGUUGCCGGGGAGGUCUAAGCAAAAGUCAACAUACCAAGUACCCAUCACAUACCCUUAUCUCCUGCAUUACAUUAUUUUCCAUUUGCCUCUCGUUUUCCUCUCCCCCACUUCACCCUUGCCGUUUUAUUCGCCCUCUCUCUCUCUCUCUAUCCUCCCUCUCUUUCUCUAUUUGCCUCUUUUUUCCCACUUGCUUUCUGUUUGCUUGUGUGUUAGUUGCUUGCUUGUCACGAUGGCUCAAGAUAAUACUAAAUUACGUGACUUCACCAAUACCAACAACAAUGAUUUUAUUAACACUCCGAUUGCUCCUCUUACCGAUGCUGAAUCUUGAGAAAUUAAUACUGCUUUGCUGAAUCUUGUCAUGAAAGAUCUGUUUUUCGGCCUUCCUAGUGAAGAUGCCGCUACCCACCUAAAUAGAUUCGUUGAUUUGUGUGACAUGCAAAAGAAGAAAGGUGUGGAUAAUGAUAUUGUUAAAUUGAAGCUAUUUCCUUUUUCGCUUAGAGAUCGUGCUAAAGCUUGGUUUUCGUCUUUGCCUAAAAAUACUAUUGAUUCAUGGAAUAAGUGCAAAGAUGCUUUUAUCUCUAAGUAUUUUCCUCCUGCUAAGAUCAUCUCUCUUAGAAACGAUAUUAUGAAUUUUAAGCAACUUGAUCAUGAACAUGUUGCACAAGCUUGGGAGAGAAUGAAACUAAUGAUACGUAAUUGCCCUGCCCAUGGUUUAAAUUUGUGGAUGAUUAUACCAAAUUUUUAUGCCGGAUUGAACUUUGCUUCUAGAAAUCUUUUAGAUUAGGCCGCGGGAGGCACUUUUAUGGAAAUCACUUUAGGAGAAGCUACUAAACUCCUAGAUAAUAUUAUGGUUAAUUAUUCUCAACGGCAUACCGAAAGAUCUACUAAUAAAAACGUGCAUGCGAUAGAAGAAAUUAAUGUUUCGAGUGGAAAGAUGGAUGAACUUCUGAAAUUAUUUGCUAAUAAGAGUAUUUCUUCUGAUCCUAAUGAUAUGCCCUUGUCUACUUUGAUUGAGAAUAAUAAUUAAUCUAUGGAUGUGGAUUUUGUUGGUAGGAACAAUUUUGGUAACAACGCGUACAGAGGAAAUUUCAACCCUAGGCCUUAUCCUAGUAAUCUCUCUAAUAAUUAUGGUAAUUCCUACAACAAUUCUUAUGGAAAUUAUAAUAAGAUGCCCUCUGAUUUUGGAUCUAAUAUUAGAGAAUUUAUUACUUUCCAAAAGAAUUUCAAUGCUUUGAUUGAAGAAAAAUUGCUUAAGAUUGAUGAUUUGGCUAGGAACGUUGAUAGAAUUACUCUUGAUGUUGAUUCUUUGAAACUUAGAUCUAUUCCACCUAAGCAUGAUGUCAAUGAGUCUCUCAAAGCCAUGAGAAUUUCCAUUGAUGAGUGCAAAGAAAGAACCACUAGGAUGCGUGUUAAGAAAGAUGCCUUUAUAAGAGCGUGUUCUUCUAAUUCCUAUGAAAAUAAUGAUGAAGAUCAAAAAGUUAUUGAUGUCCUCCCUAUUAAAUCUUUGUUUUGCAAUAUGAAUCUUGAUAAUCAUGGGACUGAAUAUGAUCCACCUUUACCUAGAAGGCGUUCCAAUAAUUCAGAAUUUGUUGAUCUUGAUGCUAAAAUUGAUAAAGGUGGGAUUGAAGAAAUUAAAACCCUAGAUGUUGCUAAACCCACUAUUAUGGAUUUCAAGGAACUUAACUAUGAAAACUGCCCUUUGAUUGAUUGUAUAUCCUUGUUACAAUCCGUGCUAAAUUCUCCUCAUGCUUAUAGUCAAAAUAAAGCAUUUACUAAACAUAUUGUUGAUGCCUUGAUGCAAUCUUAUGAAGAAAAACUUGAAUUGGAAGUUUCUAUCCCUAUAAAGCUUUAUGAUGAGUGGGAACCAACUAUUAAAAUUAAAAUUAAAUAUCAUGAAUGCUAUGCUUUAUGUGAUUUGUGUGCUAGUGUUUCCACGAUUCCAUAGACUUUGUGUGAUUUGUUAGGUUUCCGUGAUUUUGAUGAUUGCUCUUUAAACUUGCACCUUGCGGAUUCCACUAUUAAGAAACCUAUGGGAAGAAUUAAUGAUGUUCUUAUUGUUGCAAAUAGCAAUUAUGUGCCCGUAGAUUUUAUUGUUCUUGACAUAGAUUGCAAUCUUUCAUGUCCUAUUAUUCUUGGUAGACCUUUCCUUAGAACGACUGGUGCAAUUAUUGAUAUGAAGGAAGGAAAUAUUAGAUUCCAAUUUCCAUUAAGGAAAGGCAUGGAACACUUUCCUAGAAAGUAAAUUAAAUUACCUUAUGAAUCUAUUAUGAUAGCCACUUAUGGAUUGCCUACCAAAGAUGGCAAUACCUAGAUCUAUCCUUGCUUGUUAUGCCUAGCUAGGGGCGUUAAACGAUAGCGCUUGUUGGGAGGCAACCCAAUUUUAUUUUUAUUCCUUGAUUUUUUCUCCUGUUUAGUAAUAAAUAAUUUAUAUAGCCUCUGUUUUGGUUCUGUUCUUUGUGUUUAAUUAGUGUUUGUGCCAAGUAGAACCGUUAGGAAGACUUGGGGAAAGUCUUGUUACACUUGCUGUAAAAAACUGAAACUUCAGCGCUCACGAGAACUGCUGCCAUUUUUAUUUGGAAAGUGCUAUGUAGUUAAUUAUUUUUCAGAUGAUUAACAGAUAAAUUCCUCACGUCCAGAAAUUUAUUUUAGAAUUUUUGGGGUUCCAGCUCUUGAGCUAGCUACAGAGUACUACAGGCUGUUCUGUUUUUGAAAGAUUCUGUUUUUCGUGUGUUGUUUGCUUAUUUUGAUGAACCUAUGGCUAGUAAAAUAGUUUAUAUACCAUAGAGAAAUUGGAAUACAGUAGGUAUAACACCAAUAUAAAUAAAUAAUGAGUUCAUUACAGUACCUUGAAGUGGUCUUUUAUUUUCUUUCGCUAACGGAGCUCAUGAGAUUUUCUACUUUAAGUUUUGUGUUGUGAAGUUUUCAAGUUUUGGGUAAAGAUUUGAUGGAUUAUGGAACAAGGAGUGACAAGAGCCUAAGCUUGGGGGUUCCCAUGGCACCCCCAAGAUAAUCUAAGUACACCUAAAAACCAAAGCUUGGGGAUGCGCCGGAAGUCAUCCCCUCUUUCAUCUACUUCUAUCGGUAACUUUACUUGGAGCUAUAUUUUUAUUCGCCACAUGAUAUGUGUUUUGCUUGGAGCGUCUUGUAUUAUUUGAGUCUUUAUUUGUUAGUUUACCACAAUCAUCCUUGCUGUACACACCUUUUGAGAGAGCCAUACAUGAUUUGGAAUUUGUUAGAAUACUCUAUGUGCUUCGCUUAUAUCUUUUGAGUUAUAUAGUUUUGCUCUAGUACUUCACUUAUAUCUUUUAGAGCACGGUGGUGGAUUUGUUUUAUAGAAACAAUUGAUCUCUCAUGCUCCACUUAGAUUAUUUUGAGAUUCUUAAUAGCAUGUUAAUUUGCUUAAAAUCCUAAUAUGCUAGGUAUUCAAAGUUAGUAAAAUUUUCUUAAGAGUGUUUUGAAUACUAAGAGAAGUUUGAUGCUUGAUGAUUGUUUUGAGAUAUGGAGGUAAUAAUAUCAAAGUCGUUCUCGUUGACUAGUUGUGAAAUUGAGAAAUACUUGUGUUGAAGUUUGCAUGUCCCGUAGCACGCACGUAUGGUAAACGUUGUGUAACAAAUUUGAAACAUGAGGUGUUAUUUGAUUGUCUUCCUUGUGAGUGGCGGUCGGGGACGAGCGAUGGUCUUUUCCUACCAAUCGAUCCCCCUAGGAGCAUGCGAAUAGUACCAAGGUUUUUGAUGACUUGUAGAUUUUUGCAGUAAGUAUGUGAGUUCUUUAUGACUAAUGUUGAGUCCAUGAAUUAUACGCACUCUCACCCUUCCAUCCUUGCUAGCCUCUUCGGUACCGUGCAUUGCCCUUUCCCACAUUGAGAGUUGGAGCAAACUUCGCCAGUGCAUCCAAACCCCGUGCUAUGAUACGCUCAUUCACACAUAAACCUCCUUAUAUCUUCCUCAAAACAGCCACCAUACCUACCUAUUAUGGCAUUUCCAUAGCCAUUCCGACAUAUAUUGCCAUGCAACUUUCCACCAUUCCGUUCAUCAUGACACAUUCAUCAUUGUCAUAUUGCGUAGCAUAAUCAUGUAGUUGACAUAGUAUUUGUGGCAAGGCCACCGUUCAUAAUUCAUUCAUACAUGUCACUCUUGGUCCAUUGCAUGUCCCGGUACACCGCCGGAGGCAUUCAUAUAGAGCCAUACUUUGUUCUAGUAUCGAGUAGUAAUUAUUGAGUCGUAAAUAAAUAGAAGUGUGAUGAUCAUCAUUAAUAGAGCAUGGUCCCAAAAAGAAAAAAAAGGAAGGGCCAAAAAAAGGCCAAAUAAAAAAAUAUAAAAAAGGGGGCAAUGCUACUAUCCUUUUUUUCCAAACUUGUGCUUCCAAGUAGCACCGUAAUCUUCAAGAUAGAGAGUCUCUUGAUUUGUCACUUUCAUAUACUAGUGGGAAUUUUUCAUUAUAGAACUUGGCUUGUAUAUUCCAACAAUGGGCGUCCCCAAGUUCCCUAGGUCUUCGUGAGCAAGCAAGUUGGAUGCACACCCACUUAGUUUCUUUUGUUGAGCUUUCAUACAUUUAUAGCUCUAGUGCAUCCGUUGCAUGGCAAUUCCUACUCCUUGCAUUAACAUCAAUCAAUGGGCAUCUCCAUAGCCCAUUGAUUAGCCUCGUUGAUGUGAGACUUUCUCCUUUUUGUCUUCUCCACAUAACCCCACUCAUUAGAUUCUAUUCCACCCAUAGUGUUAUGUCCAUGGCUUGCAAUCAUAUAUUGCGUGAAAGUUUAUAGGUUUGAGAUCACUAAAGUAUGAAACAAUUGCUUGGCUUGUCAUCGGGGUUGUGCAUGAUGAGAGCAUACUUGUGUGACGAAAAUGAAGCAUGACUAAACUAUAUGAUUUUGUAGGGGUGAACUUUCUUUGGCCAUGUUAUUUUGAGAAGACACAAUUGCUCAGUUAGUAUGCUUAAAGUAUUAUUAUUUUAUGUCAAUAUGAACUUUUGUCUUGAAUGUUUCAGAUCCGAAUAUUCAUACCACAAUUAAGAAGAAUUACAUUAAAAUCAUGCCAAGUAGCACUCCACAUCAAAAAUUCUGUUUUUAUCAUUUACCUACUCGAGGACGAGCCGGAAUUAAGCUUGGGGAUGCUUGAUACAUCUCCAACGUAUCUAUAAUUUUUGAUUGCUCCAUGCUAUAUUAUCUACUGUUUUGGACAAUAUUGGGCUUUAUUAUCCACUUGUAUAUUAUUUUUGGGACUAACCUAUUAACCGGAGGCCCAGCCCAGAAUUGUUGUUUUUUGCCUGUUUUAGGGUUUCGAAGAAAAGGAAUAUCAAACGGAGUCCAAACGGAAUGAAACCUUCGGGAACGUGAUUUUCUCAACGAACAAGAUCUAGGAGACUUGGACCCUCCAUCAAGACAUAAAAGAGGAGGCCACGAGGUAGGGGGCGUNNNNNNNNNNNNNNNNNNNNNNNNNNNNNNNNNNNNNNNNNNNNNNNNNNNNNNNNNNNNNNNNNNNNNNNNNNNNNNNNNNNNNNNNNNNNNNNNNNNNNNNNNNNNNNNNNNNNNNNNNNNNNNNNNNNNNNNNNNNNNNNNNNNNNNNNNNNNNNNNNNNNNNNNNNNNNNNNNNNNNNNNNNNNNNNNNNNNNNNNNNNNNNNNNNNNNNNNNNNNNNNNNNNNNNNNNNNNNNNNNNNNNNNNNNNNNNNNNNNNNNNNNNNNNNNNNNNNNNNNNNNNNNNNNNNNNNNNNNNNNNNNNNNNNNNNNNNNNNNNNNNNNNNUGGGCCCCCCUGUUGCUCCACCGACGUACUCCUUCCUCCUAUAUAUACCUACUAUUGGGGAACGUAGCAGAAUUUUAAAAUUUUCUACGCAUACCAAGAUCAAUCUAUGGAGUCAUAUAGCAACGAGGGAGAGAGGAGUGCAUCUACAUACCCUUGUAGAUCGCGCGCGGAAGCGUUCAAGAGAACGGGGUUGAUGGAGUCGUACUCGUCGUGAUCCAAAUCACCGAUGACCAAGUGCCGAAUGGACAGCACCUCCGCGUACAACACACGUACGGUUGGGAAGACGUCUCCUCCUUCUUGAUCCAGCAAGGGGGAAGGAGAGGUUGAUGAAGAUCCAGCAGCACGACGGCGUGGUGGUGGAUGCAGCAGGAUCCCGGCAGGGCUUCGCCAAGCGCAAGCGGGGAGGAGAGGUGUUACGGAAGGAGAGGGAGGCGCCAAGAGCAAGGGUGCGGCUGCCCUCCCUCCCCCCCCUCUUUAUAUAGGGGCCUUGGGGGGGCGCCGGCCCUAGGAGAUGGAUCUCCAAGGGGGGCGAAGGCCAAGGGGUGGCUUCCCCCCCAAGCCAAGUGGGGGGCGCCCCCACCCCUAGGGUUUCCCAACCCUAGGCGCAUGGGAGGCCCAAGGGGGGCGCACCAGCCCACUAGGGGCUGGUUCUGCUCCCAAUUCAGCCCAUGGGGCCCUCCGGGAUGGGUGGCCCCACCCGGUGGACCCCCGGGACCCUUCCGGUGGUCCUGGUACAAUACCGGUGACCCCCGAAACCUUCCCGAUGGCCGAAAUUGUACUUCCUAUAUAUAAAUCUUUACCUCCGAACCAUUCCGGAACUCCUCGUGACGUACGGGAUCUCAUCCGGUACUCCGAACAUAUCCUUGGUUACUACAUACUAAUAUCUCUACAACCCUAGCGUCACCGAACCUUAAGUGUGUAGACCCUACGGGUUCGGGAGACAUGCAGACAUGACAGAGACGCCUCUCCGGUCAAUAACCAACAGCGGGAUCUGGAUACCCAUGUUGGCUCCCACGUGCUCCACGAUGAUCUCAUCGGAUGAACCACGAUGUCGAGGAUUCAAUCAAUCUGUGUAGAAUUCCCUUUGUCAAUCGGUACGUUACUUGCCCGAGACUCGAUCGUCGGUAUCCCAAUACCUCGUUCAAUCUCGUUACCAGCAAGUCACUUUACUCGUGCCGUAAUGCAUGAUCCCAUGAUCAACCACUUGGUCACAAUGAGCUCAUUAUGAUCAUGCAUUACCGAGUGGGCCCAGAGAUACCUCUCCGUCAUACGGAGUGACAAAUCCCAGUCUCGAUUCGUGCCAACCCAACAGACACUUUCGGAGAUACCUGUAAUGUACCUUUAUAGUCACCCAGUUACGUUGUGACGUUUGGCACACCCAAGGCACUCCUACGGUAUCCGGGAGUUGCCCAAUCUCAUGGUCUAAGGAAAUGAUACUUGACAUUCGGAAAAGCUACAGCAAACGAACUACACGAUCUUUGAGCUAUGCUUAGGAUUGGGUCUUGUCCAUCACAUCAUUCUCCUAAUGAUGUGAACCCGUUAUCAAUGACAUCCAAUGUCCAUAGUCAGGAAACCAUGACUAUCUUUUGAUCAACGAGCUAGUCAACUAGAGGCUCACUAGGGACGUGUUGUCGUCUAUGUAUUCACACAUGUAUUACGAUUUCCGGAUAACACAAUUAUAGCAUGAAAAAUAGACAAUUAUCAUGAACAAAGAAAUAUAAUAAUAACCAUUUUAUUAUUGCCUCUAGGGCAUAUUUCCAACAGUCUCCCACUUGCACUAGCGUCAGUAGUCUAGUUACAUUUUGAUGAAUCCAACACCCAUGAAGUUCUGGAGUUGAUCAUGUUUUGCUCUAGGGAGAGGUUUAGUCAAUGGAUCUGCCACAUUCAGGUCCGUAUGUACUUUACAAAUCUCUAUGUAUCCAUUUUGAACACUUUCAUGAAUGGAGUUGAAGUGACGCUUGAUAUGCCUGGUCUUCCUGUGAAAUCUGGGCUCCUUGGCAAGUGCAAUAGCUCCAGUGUUGUCACAGAAUAGAGUCAUCGGGCCCGGUGCAUUGGGUGUGACUCCUAGGUCGGUAAUGAACUCCUUCACCCAGAUUGCUUCUUGUGCUGCCUCCGAGGCUGCCAUGUACUCUGCUUCACAUGUAGAUCCCGCCACAACGCUUUGCUUGCAACUCCACCAGCUUACUGCCCCACCAUUCAAAAUAUACACGUAUCCGGUUUCCGACUUAGAGUCAUCCAGAUCUGUGUCGAAGCUAGCAUCAACGUAACCCUUUACGACGAGCUCUUCGUCACCUCCAUAAACGAGAAACAUAUCCUUAGUCCUUUUUAGGUACUUGAGGAUAUUCUUGACUGCUGUCUAGUGUUCCAUGCCGGGAUUACUUUGGUACCUUCCUACCAAACUUACGGCAAGGUUUUCAUCAGGUCUGGUACACAGCAUAGCAUACAUGAUAGACCCUAUGGCCGAGGCAUAGGGGAUGACACUCAUCUUUUCUCUAUCUUCUGUCGUGGUCGUGCAUUGAGCCUCGCUCAAUCUCGUACCUUGCAAUACAGGCAAGAACCCUUCUUUUACUGAUCCAUUUUGAACUUCUUCAAUAUCUUAUCAAGGUAUGUACUCUGUGAAAGACCAAUGAGGCGUCUCGAUCUAUCUCUAUAGAUCUUGAUGCCUAAUAUAUAAGCAGCUUCUCCAAGAUCCUUCAUUGAAAAACACGUGUUCAAGUAGGCCUUUAUGCUUUCCAAGAAUUCUAUAUCAUUUCCCAUCAACAAUAUGUCAUCCACAUCCAAUAUGAGAAAUGCUACAAAGCUCCCACUCACUUUCUUGUAAAUGCAGACUUCUCCAUAAGUAUGCGUAAACCCAAACGCUUUGAUCAUCUCAUCAAAACGAAUGUUCCAUCUCCGAGAUGCUUGCACCAGCCCAUAAAUCGAAUGUUGGAGCUUGUACACCUUGUCAGCAUUCUUAGGAUCGACAAAACCUUCCGGCUGCAUCAUAUACAAUUCUUCCUUAAGGAAACCAUUAAGGAAUGUUGUUUUGACGUCCAUUUGCCAUAUUCAUAAUCAUAGAAUGCGGCAAUUGCUAACAUCGUAGUCAACCCCUUGAACUUGCCGAUAACCCUUAGCGACAAGCCGAGCUUUAUAGAUGGUCACAUUACCAUCCGCGUCUGUCUUCUUCUUAAAGAUCCAUUUAUUUUCUAUGGCUCGCCGAUCAUCGGGCAAGUCAGUCAAAGUCCAUACUUUGUUUUCAUACAUGGAUCUUAUCUCGGAUUUCAUGGCUUCCAGCCAUUUGUUGGAAUUCAGGCCCGCCAUCGCUUCUUCAUAGUUCGAAGUUCACCGUUGUCUAACAACAUGAUUUCCAAGACAGGGUUGCCGUACCACUCUGGUGCGGGACGUGUCCCCGUGGACCUACGAAGUUCAGUAGCAACUUGAUCUGAAGUUUCAUGAUCAUCAUCAUCAAUUUCCUCUCUAGUCGUUGCAGGCACCUUAGGAACAUUUUCUUGAGCUGCGCCACUUACCGGUUCAAGAGGUAAUAAUACUUCAUCAAGUUCUACUUUCCUCCCACUUAUUUCUUUCGAGAGAAACUCUUUCUCUAGAAAGGACCCAUUCUUGGCAACAAAGAUCUUGCCUUCGGAUCUGAGGUAGAAGGUAUACCCAAUAGUUUCUUUAGGGUAUCCUAUGAAGACGCAUUUUUCCAAUUUGGGUUCGAGCUUUUCAGGUUGAAGUUUCCUUACAUAAGCAUCGCAUCCCCAAACUUUUAGAAAUGACAUCUUAGGUGUCUUCCCAAACCAUAAUUCAUACGGUGUCAUCUCAACGGAUUUCGACGGAGCCCUAUUUAAAGUGAAUGCGGCAGUCUCUAAAGCAUAGCCCCAAAAUGACAGCGGUAAAUCGGUAAGAGACAUCAUAGAUCGCACCAUAUCUAAUAGAGUGCGAUUAUGACAUUCCGACACACCAUUACGCUGAGGUGUUCCAGGCGGCGUGAGUUGUGAAACUAUUCCACAUUUUCUUAAGUGUGUGCCAAAUUCGUGACUCAAGUAUUCUCCCCCACGAUCUGAUCGCAAGAACUUGAUUUGCCUGUCACGUUGAUUCUCAACCUCACUUUGAAAUUCCUUGAACUUUUCAAAGGUCUCAGACUUGUGUUUCAUUAAGUAGACAUACCCAUAUCUACUCAAGUCAUCAGUGAGGGUGAGAACAUAACGAUAGCCACCGCGCCUCAACACUCAUUGGACCGCACACAUCAGUAUGUAUGAUUUCCAAUAAGUUGGUUACUCGCUCCAUUGUUCCUGAGAACGGAGUCUUGGUCAUUUUACCCAUGAGGCAUGGUUCGCACGUGUCAAAUGAUUCGUAAUCAAGAGACUUUAAAAGUCUAUCUGCAUGGAGCUUCUUCAUGCGUUUGACACCUAUGUGACCAAGGCGGCAAUGCCACAAGUAUGUGGGACUAUCAUUAUCAACCUUACAUCUUUUGGUAUUCACACUAUGAAUAUGUGUAACAUUAUGCUCGAGAUUCAUUAAGAAUAAACCAUUCACCAAUGGAGCAUGACCAUAAAACAUAUCUCUCAUAUAAAUAGAACAACCAUUAUUCUCGGAUUUAAAUGAGUAGCCAUCUCAAAUUAACCGAGAUCCUGAUACAAUGUUCAUGCUCAAAGCUGGCAGUAAAUAACAAUUAUUGAGGUUUAAAACUAAUCCCAUAGGCAAAUGUAGAGGCAGCGUGCCGACGGCGAUCACAUCAACCUUGGAACCAUUCCCGACGCACAUCGUCACCUCGUCCUUCGCCAGUCUCCGUUUAAUCCGCAGCUCCUGCUUUGAGUUACAAAUGUGAGCAACUGCACCGGUAUCAAAUACCCAGGAGCUACUACGAGUACUGGUAAGGUACACAUCAAUUACAGGUAUAUCACAUAUACCUUUAGUGUUGCCGGCCUUCUUGUCCGCUAAGUAUUUGGGGCAGUUCCGCUUCCAGUGACUACUUCCCUUGCAAUAAAAACACUCAGUCUCGAGCUUGGAUCCAUUCUUUGGCUUCUUCCCGGAAACUUGCUUAGCGGGCGCGGCAACUCCCUUGCCGUCCUUCUUGAAUUCUUCUUACCCUUGCCUUUCUUGAACUUAGUGGUUUUAUUCACCAUCAACACUUGAUGUUCCUUUUUGAUUUCCACCUCUGCUGAUUUCAGCAUUGAAUAUACCUCAGGAAUGGUCUUUUCCAUCCCCUGCAUAUUGAAGUUGAUCACAAAGCUCUUGUAGCUCGGUGGAAGCGACUGAAGGAUUCUGUCAAUGACCGCGUCAUUCGGGAGGUUAACUCCCAGCUGAGUCAAGCGGUUAUGCAACCCAGACAUUUUGAUUAUGUGCUCACUGACAGAACUAUUUUCCUCCAUCUUAUAGCUGAAGAACUUGUCGGAGACUUCAUAUCUCUCGACCCGGGCAUGAGCUUGAAAAACCAUUUUCAGCUCUUCGAACAUCUCAUAUGCUCCAUGUCUCUCAAAAUGCUUUUGGAGCCCCGGUUCUAAGCUGUAAAGCAUGCCGCACUGAACGAGGGAGUAAUCAUCAGCACGUAACUGCCAAGCGUUGAUAAUGUCUUGGUUCUCUGGGACAGGUGCGUGACCUAACGGUGCUUCUAGGACAUAAUAUUUCUUGGCAGCUACGAGGAUGAUCCUCAGGUUCCGGACCCAGUCCGUAUAGUUGCUGCCAUCGUCUUUCAGCUUGGUUUUCUCUAGGAACGCGUUGAAAUUGAGGACAACGUGGGCCAUUUGAUCUACAAGACAUAUUGUAAAGAUUUUAGACUAAGUUCAUGAUAAUUAAGUUCAUCUAAUCAAAUUAUACAAUGAACUCCCACUCAGAUAGACAUCCCUCCAGUCAUCUAAGUGAAACAUGAUCCAAGUUAACUAGGCUGUGUCGGAUCAUCACGUGAAACGGACUAGUCAACAUCGGUGAACAUCUUCAUGUUGAUCGUAUCUUCUAUACGACUCAUGCUCGACCUUUCGGUCUUCUGUGUUCCGAGGCCAUGUCUGUACAUGCUAGGCUCGUCAACUAAACCUAAGUGUAUUGCGUGUGUAAAUCUGGCUUACACCCGUUGUAUUCGAACGUUAGAAUCUAUCACACUCGAUCAUCACGUGGUGCUUCGAAACAACGAACCUUCGCAACGGUGCACAGUUAGGGGGAACACUUUCUUGAAAUUAUUUCGAGGGAUCAUCUUAUUUAAGCUACCGUCGUUCUAAGCAAAUAAGAUGUAAAACAUGAUAAACAUCACAUGCAAUCAAAUAGUGACAUGAUAUGGCCAAUAUCAUUUGCUCCUUUUGAUCUCCAUCUUUGGGGCUCCAUGAUCAUCGUUGUCACCAGCAUGACACCAUGAUCUCCAUCAUCAUGUCUUCUUGAAGUUGUCUCGUCAUCUAUUACUUCUACUACUAUGGCUAAUGCUUUAGCAAUAAAGUAAAGUAAUUACAUGACGUUUAUGUUGACACGCAGGUCAUAAAAAAAUAAAGACAACUCCUAUGGCUCCUGCCGGUUGUCAUACUCAUCGACAUGCAAGUCGUGAUUCCUAUUACAAGAACAUGAUCAAUCUCAUACAUCACAUAUAUCAUUCAUCACAUCCUUUUGGCCAUAUCACAUCAGACGGCACAUGCUGCAAAAACAAGUUAGACGUCCUCUAAUUGUUGUUGCAAGUUUUUACAUGGCUGCUAUAGGUUUCUAGCAAGAACGUGUCUUACCUACGCCAAAACCACAACGUGAUAUGCCAAUUUCUAUUUACCCUUCAUAAGGACCCUUUUCAUCGAAUCCGAUCUAACUAAAGUGGGAGAGAUAGACACCCGCCAGCCACCUUAUGCAAGUAAUGCAUGUCAAUCGGUGGAACCAGUCUCACGUAAGCGUACGUGUAAGGUCGGUCCGGGCCGCUUCAUCCCACGAUGCCGCCGAAUCAAGAUAAGACUAGUAACGGCAAGCAAAGUGACAAUAUCCACGCCCACAACUGCUUUGUGUUCUACUCGUGCAUAGAAACUACGCAUAGACCUGGCUCAUGAUGCCACUAUUGGGGAAUGUAGCAGAAUUUUAAAAUUUUCUACGCAUCACCAAGAUCAAUCUAUGGAGUUAUCUAGCAAUGAGGAAGAGAGGAGUGCAUCUACAUACCCUUGUAGAUCGCGCGCGGAAGCGUUCAAGAGAACGGGGUUGAUGGAGUCGUACUCGUCGUGAUCCAAAUCACCGAUGACCAAGUGCCGAACGGACAGCACCUCCGCGUUCAACACACGUCCGGUUGGGAAGACGUCUCCUCCUUCUUGAUCCAGCAAGGGGGAAGGAGAGGUUGAUGAAGAUCCAGCAGCACGACGGCGUGGUGGUGGAUGCAACAGGAUCCCGGCAGGGCUUCGCCAAGCGCAAGCGGGGAGGAGAGGUGUUACGGAGGGAGAGAGAGGCGCCAAGAGCAAGGGUGCGGCUGCCUUCCCUCCCCCCUCUUUAUAUAGGGGCCAUGGCGGGCGCCGGCCCUAGGAGAUGGAUCUCCAAGGGGGGCGAAGGCCAAGGGGUGGCUCCCCCCCCCAAGCCAAGUGGGGGGCGCCCCCACCCCUAGGGUUUCCCAACCCUAGGCGCAGGGGAGGCCCAAGGGGGCGCACCAGCCCACUAGGGGCUGGUUCCCCUCCCAAUUCAGCCCAUGGGGCCCUCCGGGAUGGGUGGCCCCACCCGGUGGACCCCCGGGACCCUUCCGGUGGUCCCGAUACAAUACCGGUUACCCCCGAAACCUUCCCGAUGGCCGAAACUGUACUUCCUAUAUAUAAAUCUUUACCUCCAAACCAUUUCAGAACUCCUCGUGACGCCCGGGAUCUCAUCCGGGACUCCGAACAACUUUCGGCUUACUACAUACUAAUAUCUAUACAACCCUAGCGUCACCGAACCUUAAGUGUGUAGACCCUACGGGUUUCGGAGACAUGCAGACAUGACUGAGACGCCUCUCCAGUCAAUAACCAACAGCGGGAUCUGGAUACCCAUGUUGGCUCCCACAUGCUCCACGAUGAUCUCAUCGGAUGAACCACGAUGUCGAGCAUUCAAUCAAUCUGUAUACAAUUCCCUUUAUCAAUCAGUACGUUACUUGCCCGAGACUCGAUCGUCAGUAUCCCAAUACCUUGUUCAAUCUCGUUACCGGCAAGUCACUUUACUCAUACCAUAAUGCAUGAUCCCGUGAUCAACCACUUGGUCACAUUGAGCUCAUUAUGAUGAUGCAUUACCGAGUGGGCCCAGAGAUACCUCUUCAUCACGCGGAGUGACAAAUCCCAGUCUCGAUUCAUGCCAACCCAAUAGACACUUUCGGAGAUACCUGUAAUGUACCUUUAUAGUCACCCAGUUACGUUGUGACGUUUGGCACACCCAAGGCACUCCUACGGUAUCCGGGAGUUUCACAAUCUCAUGGUCUAAGGAAAUGAUACUUGACAUUCGGAAAAGCUACAGCAGAUGAACUACACGACCUUUGAGCUAUGCUUAGGAUUGGGUCUUGUCCAUCACAUCAUUCUCCUAAUGAUGUGAUCCCAUUAUCAAUGACAUCCAAUGUCCAUAGUCAGGAAACCAUGACUAUCUUUUGAUCAACAAGCUAGUCAACUAGAGGCUCACUAGGGACGUGUUGUGGUCUAUGUAUUCACACAUGUAUUACGAUUUCCGGAUAACACAAUUAUAGCAUGAACAAUAGACAAUUAUCAUGAACAAAGAAAUAUAAUAAUAACCAUUUUAUUAUUGCCUCUAGGGCAUAUUUCCAACACCUACGUACCCCCAAACGAUCAUAUACGGAGCCAAAACCCUAAUUCCACCGCCGCAACUUUCUGUAUCCACGAGAUCCCAUCUUGGGGCCUGUUCCGGAGCUCCGCCAGAGGGGGCAUCGAUCACGGAGGGCUUCUACAUCAACACCAUAGCCUCUCUGAUGAAGUGUGAGUAGUUCACCUCAGACCUACGGUUCCAUAGUUAUUAGCUAGAUGGCUUCUUCUCUCUUUUUGGAUCUCAAUACAAUGUUCUCCCCAUCUCUUGUGGAGAACUAUUCGAUGUAAUCUUCUUUUUGCGGUGUGUUUGUUGAGACCGAUGAAUUGUGGGUUUAUGAUCAAGUCUAUCUAUGAAUAAUAUUUGAAUCUUCUCUGAAUUGUUUUAUGUAUGAUAGGUUAUCUUUGCAAGUCUCUUCGAAUUAUCAGUUUGGUUUGGCCUACUAGAUUGAUCUUUCUUGCAAUGGGAGAAGUGCUUAGCUUUGGGUUCAAUCUUGCGGUGUCCUUUCCCAGUGACAGUAGGGGCAGCAAGGCACGUAUUAUAUUGUUGCCAUCGAGGACAACAAGAUGGAGUUUUCAUCAUAUUGCAUGAGUCUAUCCCUCUACAUCAUGUCAUCUUGCUUAAGGCGUUAAUCUGUUUUUAACUUAAUACUCUAGAUGCUUGCUGGAUAGCGAUCGAUUAGUGGAGUAAUAGUAGUAGAUGCAGGCAGGAGUCGGUCUACUUGUCUCGGACGUGAUGCCUAUAUACAUGAUCAUACCUAGAUAUUCUCAUAACUAUGCUCAAUUCUGUCAAUUGCUCAACAAUAAUUUGUUCACCCACCGUAGAAUAUUUAUGCUCUCGAGAGAAGCCACUAGUGAAACCUAUGGCCCCGGGUCUAUCUUUAUCAUAUUAAUCUCCUACUACUUAGUUAUUUCCUUUGCUUUUUACUUUGCCUUUAUUUUACUUUGCAUCUUUAUCACAAAAAUACGAAAAAAAUUAUCUUUAUCAUAUCUAUCAAAUCUCACUCUCGUAAGUGGCCGUGUAGGAAUUGACAACCCCUAUUCGCGUUGGUUGCGAGGAUUUAUUUGUUUUGUGCAGGUACGAGGGACUCGCGCGUAGCCUCCUACUGGAUUGAUACCUUGGUUCUCAAAACCUGAGGGAAAUACUUACGCUACUUUGCUGCAUCAUCCCUUCCUCUUCGGGGAAAACCAAGGCAGUGCUCAAGAGGUAGCAAGGGUUCCUUUUUGUCGACGAUCCGAUGUUUCAACCCUGUUUUCCAGGUGGCCAACGCGUCGCUAAACUUGGUGACGGCGUGUUUGUUUAUCUUCUUCAUUGCCAGGUCCUUAUCUGGAUCUUUAUUAUCCUUUUCACUGCGGUCUGGGAACAAGAUUAUCUGGUGCAGUUUCUUAAGGAGGGAGGGCCUCAUAUUAUCUAUCUUCUGUAGUUUCCCAUCGUUGAUCGUGGCAGUUGUCCGUACGAUGCAACCUAUUUGAUUGCCGUAGCACGAUCGCGCUUCCUCGGGCGCUAUUGUCUCAAAAAUACCGCCGUCCAUCUCCGUGACCGCCAGUCUACUACUCAUGAGCUGGUUUGGGCGCUGUGGCCUCUUUGCUUUCGGUUCUAGACCAGCUCCGCUAGUCUCGGCGCCUGUCUCAGUUUCAUCAUCGGUCCGCAUGUCGGUAUCAGUCCCCGAUGCGACACCACAGUUGCUGCAACAUGGGUAAGGGAGACCACGUCAGUGGUGGGGGGUCUGAAAAUCAGAACACACUUUCGCGCGUCGCGGGCCGCCUCUCAGACAGCUACUGGGGAGGCGGUGGAGUACCUGGGUGCGCGGCGAAUCCCCGGGAACUCGGUGACCAACUUCCUUCCCGUGUGGCGCAUGGAGACGACGGCGACCCCGGCGAAGAGCAGCUUAGCCGCGAGCUGCACAGCCUCGUCCACCUCCUAAGUUGGGACCUCCGCGCGAGCGUUGCGGGGCCGCCACUCGGAUGGCUUCUGGAAGGCGGUUGUACAUGGGCACAUGGUGAAUCCCGGCGAGAGCUGGCCAUUGGCGCGCGCAAGUAGACGACGAUGUCCUCGAAGAAGAGCAGCCCGGCCAGCUCGCCUCACUAUCCUUUGAUUAGAAAUGAAAGAUUGGGAAGAAGCAGACUUGAGCCUGCAGGGAAAGGAUAAGGUGACGAUGCAGUCUCCACUCGUUCGGGGCGACACUCGUACUGAAUGUAUGAGAAACGUGACGUGGCAGAGACCCCAAGAUACUCCCUCCAUUUAUUUUUAGUCUGCAUAUAAAGUUUGGUCAAAGUCAAGAUUUGUAAAUUUUAACUAACUUUAUAAUAAAAAAAUAUCAACAUUCACAAUAUGAAAUCAAUAUUACCAGAUGCGUCAUGAAAUGUAUUUCCAUACUAUAUAGUUUUGGUAUUGUAGAUGUUCAUAUUUUUUUAUAUAUAUGGGAAGUAGAGGCACUCUUCUAUAUAAUGAAGUUUAUAAUAUAUGUGCUUAUAUUGUACUAUAAUUGUUUGAAUAACUUAGCAUAUAUUCAGAUGUAUGAUAUCUGUAAUUUAAACGCUUGAAUUUUACAUAUGAAUAUUUAUUAAUAAAUAUGUACCCCUAUAAUAGCUAGGCCGUGCAGUUGCACGGGUAGAUGACUAGUGAUUACAAUCUUGCUUGUGUGCAAGUCAAGCUUAUCUAGUUUACACGUAACAACUUAUAGAACAUUACAAAAUUUAUGCUUGCUAAUAACUUCUAGAACACUACAACACUUGACAUGUAAAAGGAAUUUGAUGAGUCAUGGCCUACUAAAGCAAGUUACAUUACUAGUCUUAUCUAUCUUAACAGACCACACAAGAUUACAAACUAUGUACCGUGACAGCCAUGCUUAUCUAGUUUAUGCGUAACAAUUUGCAGAAAAUUACAAACUUAGUUUCAGAAAGAUAGGCAAUCUAGAUUAGUGUUUGAGCUGUAAAGUGAAUAAGAUGAGUCAUGCAUGUCAUCACACCUUUUUGGUGGUGGAAUGAUAGUGCAACAACAAGGAACUUUAAUGACCAGUCCAAGAAUACACUUGUAAGUAGUGCCACCAAACAGAACAUACCAAAUGAUGAUUUUGAGAAGCAUCCAAGCACUUUCCACACAAACAAAUGCCAAUUGUGAAAGAGAUCAUUCCAUGGCAGCUAUAAAUAGCCCCAUAGCAUGACGAUCAUCCUUCCUCAUCCAUCAUUCUCAUAAGUAGAGCACAUCAUUUAAGCCAAGCAAGUUGUGGUCAAUACAAAUCCACCAUGAAGACCUUUCUCAUCCUUGCCCUCCUUGCUAUCGUGGCGACCACCGCCACAACUGCAGUUAGAGUUCCAGUGCCACAAUUGCAGCCACAAAAUCCAUCUCAGCAACAGCCACAGGAGCAAGUUCCAGUGGUACAACAACAACAAUUUCUAGGGCAGCAACAACCAUUUCCACCACAACAACCAUAUCCACAGCCGCAACCAUUUCCAUCACAACAACCAUAUCUGCAGCUGCAACCAUUUCCGCAGCCGCAACUACCAUAUUCGCAGCCACAACCAUUUCAACCACAACAACCAUAUCCACAACCGCAACCACAGUAUUCGCAACCACAACAACCAAUUUCACAGCAGCAGCAGCAGCAGCAGCAGCAGCAAC
rnacentral:lncRNA from 1 species